rnacentral:lncRNA from 1 species
AUUAUAUAUAGCUUUCGACUGUUAAACUCAUCCUGAUUUGUGAAUUGAAUCAAAUUUCUAACUUAAAACUGGAAAACCAAGUAAAGAAGGGCCUGCAAAAGUGCUUUAUAUUGACAAUUGCGGACUCACCAAAACAUAGGUAUCCUUCUCAGGAUCAAACUCAUCCAUAAUUACUGAUCCCCAUGUUCCAAACUGUCGGAGAGGAAGAACCUUAAAACCCGGCAGAGAAGCUUGAGCUCUUCCAUGCAAAAGUAAAAAAAGAUCAUAAUUAAUCAGCAUAAACCCAAUAAAAUUGGUAUGCAUAAGAUUAAUAUGAAGCAUCAGGAACAGGAUUAUAAUCACUGGACUCUCAGAAUUUAAUUUCUACACAAAGGAAGAGAGAAGUAUCGGCUGCAUGUGCUCGAUGACAAAGCUCACUACAAGUAUAGUGACGAAAAAUAAGUCUUGUUAUAUUAUUGUUUUCGUUAUGGCUUAUGUUUUGUUCUUACUAACUUAGGACCACAAUUGAGAUAGCAAGAUCAUAUUGAGAUAAUGGUAGCAUGAUAAUUACUCAGUUUUUACCUAUGAUGUACCUUACACUUACGAAUCAGAGGAUCCACACUUACGCAGGUCUAAGAUACUAAAAUGCAAGGAGAGGAGAAUGGAUAAUUAAUAAGGAUUGUUCCAUCAUUUUGAGAGAAUUGAGGGAGGAGGCUAAUAGAAAUAUAUAUAUUUUUAAAAAAACUUACACUUCCUCAGGCUCUCGGACAUCAAUCAACUGAGCUUCCUCAACAAAACUAGGGUAUUGCAUUUUGGAGUGAAGCUCCAGUGGCUCGAUAUCUUGAAGUAUACAUUCUUCCCUGGCAUAGUAGUAAACUGGAUAAAAAAUCACAACAUACAACUCUCCGAUGAUGAAGCCACAGCUUGUACAGAUGUUAUGAUUCUUUACCUCUCUGAGAGCACUUGCAGCAAAUGCCAUCCAAAUUUAGUCUUGCAACGCACAACUUUGUUUACAGGAGCAUUAAACGCAGCAUCUUCAAAUUCUGGAACCUGCUCAAAUUUCACCAAGUGGUUUAUUCAAUAUUCGUGUUAAGGAGACAAAUAACACACUUUACUCAUUUAUAUUGAUAUAUAGUAAUUAUGUUCUCAAUACCGUUUGCCCUCUUCGGAUCCACCCGAGCAUUCCACCAUUUUCCUUUGACGGACAUAUCGAAUACUCCACAGCCAAAUCGCUCAAAUCUACUCCUGAAAUGUAUCAGCACGAAGAAUCAUGAUCGACCCUUUCCUACAUAUAUAUAGGUACGUCCGAAUGGUAAAGAAAUAGUCUUCGAUAAAAGUAAACACAGUUGCCCAUUUAACAACAAAGUUUAACCAAAGCUCCAUGUGAAGACAUAGAAUUAUCGUGUUGGUGUUCUGUUAUAACUAUUUUAAUACAUUCUCCGUAGCAUCGUAAUUGACCCUACGAUUUCCCACUGUGCUGUACCAUGCUGACACCACAAUGAAGUUGAACAACUGGUAAUGUUUUGCAUAUAUGAGUUUUUUAAGUUAAUUCUUGAGUAAAUUCCCAAAAUUGAUCAUGUCCGGGAAAGGAAGAGGUAAGAAGGGAAUUGAAACAUUCGUAACCAACUUCAACCUACUUAGUAAAAGUUAGGCUAUUGGUCUUUGGGAUGUUUUAAUCAUUUAUGUUCAACACAUGAUAAUACAAUAAAUAAGUAGCUUAACCAAGCUAAAAAAAAACAUACAGCAUCUGAAAACGGGGAAAAAAGUAGUUUUUAACCAAACCAACCUCCCGAAAUCCGUUGUUGGAGCUCCACCAAAAGCUUAAGAUUAUCCUCACCAACAAGCAGAUGCUGAACCAGAAGCUCUUUAUUCUCUCUUCCACUACUACUUCCACCACUGAACAGAGCUGUGGACACAAGAAGAAACAGUAAUCCAAACCCAGUUCAGUAAAAACAAGGUAAAUUCGUAUAGACCUUAUCUGAACCAUCGCAGAUUUCUGAAACGGGUACCUAAACUGUAAAUUUUUUUUAAUUUUGCUACCUAACCUUACAACUCUUCCUAGUUUCUAACAAUUUCUCUGAAAAUCUGAUCAAAUUCUUGCGGAAAACGAGUAAAAUUUCCCAAAUUCAUGAAAAACUCAAGGGAAUUCUCAACGAAAGGGAUCAAAAGAUGAGUCCUACCUCUUCCUCGAACCCUCGGAUUAGCCAUAAUGGAGGGGCUCCGCCUAAAGAAGCGCGAAGUGGAAUUGUUUCCAAUUGGGGGGCGUGAAGAGCGUGGGAUUUGAGGUGGGGCCGUAGAGAGGGAGGAGACGAAGUAGGGUUUAAGGGAGGAGGAGAAGGGGAGAGAGGAGAGGAGUGGGAUUCGCAAAGAGGAGGAGGAGAAAGAGGGGAAAUGGGUCGCUCGAAACAUUUCUUUCGAUUUUUGUUGGAUUUUUUUUAAAAGAAUUUCGCUUCUCGAUUCGAUCUUUAAAAGUGGUUCGAGCAUGUAAUAUCCCUUAUGGCUCGGGCUUGUAUAUUGCUGUUCUUGGUGCUUCUGGUCGCGGAUCUGAGGUAACGUAAUCGGUACCGAGGCUAGAGAGGUAAGGAAAUAGAGAUAGAAAUUGGGAUUGAGAUAGAGAGAAGAGAAAUAGAGGUAGAGAGAUAGGCAGAUGAGGAUUGAGAGGUGAGGGUUAGGGAAAAAAGUUGGGAUAGAGAUAGAAGAUAGAGAAGAAGAAGGGUUUGGAGAAGAACCUUUGGGGGAGAAAUAGACUAUUUCAUUUUCAUUGAUACCCUGCGAAUUACAUCCUGCUAACUAUAUAUAGCCUAUACAACUUGUACUGAAAUUGAAAUUAAACUAUCCUAAGAGGACUUAACAGCAAUUUGUCAAAAAUAGGAAUGAGGCCUGAUGGGUUCAAUCCGGUUGCCUUGAGGGCCUCGGGUGGGCUUGUUUGGUCCAAAUCGCCUGGGAGGCGGGCAAACGGACUCGGGUCCGCCCUUCUCUGCACUACCCGCAACCCUGCGGGUUUUGGGUUCGCCAUUUCGUCCCGAUCCGAGCUCCUGGUUCGCCCGACCCGUGCGUAACGGUAAGUGGGCGUCGGUUCCUGCCUUCUCCGCAUCAUCCGCCAGCUCUCUCUCCGUCGCCCCAACUACAUGGAUUUCGUCGGACCUCCCGUCGCUCUCUCCGAGCUUUGAGGAUGCCCUAGCUCAGUCGAGCUCGCCUGAGCCCCUUCGGAGGCUCCUUCCCGCCGGAGUUCCGCUCGAGCGCCUUCCUGCCGGAUCGCUCCGCCAAGCUCGUUCCCCACCAACCUCCUGCUGCACUUCUCUUCUCUACUUUGUAAAGUUGACAUUUUUACUACUCUCCCAUGCUAACUACUGCUUCUACCAUUUAUUCUUCAGGGUUGUUACAGAGCAGUGAUCGGCGAAGUUUGAAGUCGGUGAUGGAAAAGAGAGUCGCCGCCGUAUUUAAUGGUGGUGUGUUUACGGUUGGGAAAGUUUAAUGGAUCUCGGCCCAGAAUCAAAUAAAGCCCAAGAGAGAUUUAACGGAUAUUUUUCUUUCUGGGCCGAGCCCAACUUGGCCUGUAAAAUUUCAUAUACAUUUAAAAGUUCAAAUUUGGUCUAAAAUGAUUGGGUCAGGUUAAGUACUUAAAUCUCUAGACUAAGAGCUAAAGGACUGUUCAGAACACAAAAAAUGGAAGGUGGAAGUCGGCGAUCAUGGGAAACUCGUGAGGCCUUUGGAGAUGCAGCGCUUGGUGGGUAAAAGUUAGAGGCGAAAGUUACCGCGACGUACUUCUGUUUUCAUAGCGACCGUGAGCUCCGAUAUGGCUAGAGCUUAUGACUUUGCCUCCCAUCCGCCCGCUUUCAUGAUCGACGUAUUAGUCUCAUAUCGGAUGAAAAUAGCAUUAUUAUUGGAUAUAUAAGAGUACUCCAUACUGAUAAUAAUAACUGAGUUUAAGUAUUUUGGGCUGGUUGUUUGGGCUCAACGAGUUAUUAUUGACAGCGAGUUGGGUCAUUGCAUUUGAUGUUAGAGCUGCGUGAGAUGAGUUUUGUCUGAGUUAGGAUCGGAAUGACAGACUAAGUCAGAAUCAGUGAAUAAUAAGUUAAAUCAGAGUCGGAAUUAUAAGUUGAGAGUUUCAUCCAACCAAACACACUCUUCUAACUAAAGAGAUGAAAAAUCGGACUUUCUGUUCCGCUCUAUUUCAAUUAUUUGCUAAAUCUGACUCAAUUUUCGGAGCGUCAUUUGUUUAGAAUCUGCAUGCUGAUCAGGUGAAAUGCUCACGGGCAAACUUUGAAGUUAAGUCUAAAAUCCAGCUGUGAGGAGGUGUUUGGUCUCUAUCGAGCUGUUAGGGACUAAUUUUUCAAAAAAGUGGUUAUCUUCUCUAGAAAUCAAACCACAACUCAUGCCCUUUGGCAUUGUCACUCCAAUUCUCGAUUUACACGGGACUGUAGAUUAGAUAAUGGAUAUGUAAAUGAAGUAAGAUUCUAUGGAGACACCAUCGACUAUGGAUUGUGAAAUAGUUUUUUUUUUUUUUUUUUUGACACACCUCAAACUUUAGCUAUUAAAAUUAAGUAAAAACAUUUAUUAAAUAGAACAGUAAUAUAUAUAUAUAUAUAGAGUGAGGCUACUAUGCUAUCGGAAGCACGGAGCCUUCCGUGCUUGCAGCUCGUUUUCGAUGUUGCGACUUUCGAAUCGUCGAUCGGCUCCGUUAAACUUGAUCUAGAAUAUUUGGAGUACCUAGAAAAUAAAUUUUAUUAUUUUUUGAUAUCAUUUGCCUAGUGAUCGAAUGAGCUCAAAAUCAACAAAUUUCAAUGGCCGUAGUGAGCCGUUUGCAAGUUUAACGGUGUAGAAAUAUCCAAAUCACAUGAAAUUUUGAUAAAAAAUUCUUUAUACUAUAUAAAACAAGAUCAAUAUCUUUGAUUUAAAAUUUUAAUGUCAUAUUAUUACAUUUUGUAAGAUUUUUAUUUUUAGCCAUUGAUUUUGAGCCCCUUCGUUCACUAGGCAAAUGAUAUCGUAAAAUCAUAAAAUUUAUUUUCUAGGUAUUUCAAAUACUCUAGAUCAAGUUUAAUGAAGCCGAUCGACAAUUCGAAAGUCGCAACAUCGAAAACGAGCUGGAAGCACGGAAGGCUCCGUGCUUCCGAUAGCAUAGUAGCCUCACUAUAUAUAUAUAUAUAUAUAUAUAUAUAUAUAGAGUAGAGCCUGAAUACUAUCGGUAGUAACGAGCCGUUUUAUACUACCCAUUUGUUUUCGAUAAUAGAGCUUCCAAAUUGACGAUCGGCUCCGUUAAAUAUGAUCUAAACCAUUUAAACUAACUAGAAAUCAAAUUUCAGGCACUUUCGAUAUUGUUCUUUAUCCAUCAAGUGAACAGAAAAAUGAAUGGCUGAAAAUGAAUACUUUUAAAAAAAUAUGAUAGGAGUCUUGUAAUCAAGAUCAAGAGUAUAGAUCUUGUUUUAAAUAGUUUAAACAAUUUUCUAACAAAAAUUCAAUUGAUUUGGAUAUCUUUACGUGUUAAACGAGAAAACGUCUCUUAUCGACAUUAAAUUACAAAUUUUAAAACCUUUGAUCAUUAGACAAAUAUGUCGAAAAGAUUUGAAAUUUGAUUUCUAAAACACUUCAAGUGGUAUAGAUCAUAUCAACGAAGCCGAUCGUAAUUUGGAAGUUCUAUCAUCGAAAACAAAUCGUAGUAAAACGGCUCGUUUACUACCGAAUAGUAUUCUAGCUCACUACUAUAUAUAUAUAUAUAUUGUGGUGGUAAGAGUCAACAAUCCAAAACUAGCUAUAUUAGGCAAUAAUAAUAUAUGAAAAAAAAUCUUUAGUAAGGAGCUCCUUAACAACACAUUAUUAAGAAGUUUCUAUAUACUACCAUGUGUCAAUUUUGUCUCCAUUCAAAUUUUUUUUUUUUUCUUGAAAUUUAGCAUUAUAAAAUACCUAACAAAUUUCAGGAUGGAGACAAAACUAAUACAUAUAUAAUAGCGAAUUAGAAACUUUCCAAAAUAUUAUCGUAUUAUGGGUGCGUUUGGUUCGCAUUAUAAAAGAUUAUUAGGAAUAAAAGAUAUCCGAGAAUUUUAUUCCUAUUCAUUCUAUUAUUAAGAAUGUGAAAUUCUUGUGUUUGGUUCGCACGGUAAUAUUAAUUAGCCAUAUUAUUUAAUAUUAAUUGCACAAAAUAUACAAUUAAUUAAUUUAUUUAUUUAAUUUUAGAUAAUGUUACCAAAAGUUUUAACAUCUUUUUAGAAAAAAUGGAGAGAGAGUAUAAGUUAGAGAGAGAGAGCAUAAUUAAAAAAAUAGAAAGAAAAAUAUAGUCGAAAUUAGAGGGAGCGAGAGAGUUGAAAUUUUAGAAAGAGAGAGAGAGAGAGAGAGAAAGCUUAGUUUAGAGAGAGAAAAAAAAAGUUAAAUUUUAGAGAGAAAAAUAAGUUUAGAGAGAGAUAUAAGGUUAGAGUGUAAAGAAAAAUAAUAUCAAUUAGCCGGCAGGUAGGAAGAAAGAAAGAGAUUAGAUAUAUUAUGAUUACCCCAAUCCAUUAAUAUGAGGAUACCCACCAUCUCUCAAGGGAAUGGGAUUAAUACUUUGGGGUGAAUCAUAUUCCCAAGUGAAUUUAAUAUUACCAACUAGAUUACUUAGUGCGUUUAGCUAAACACCGUUAUAUUUUUUUAUUCCCAUUGAAUUACUAGGAAUCUUUAAAAGAUAGCGCGAACCAAACGCGCCCUAUAGGUUAUAUUUUAGAAGUUGAUAUUACUUGGGAACUAAUCUAGCAUUUGAUGCAUUAUCUGUCAUUGUCUUAGCUGAAACUAAAAGGAAAGUGACCAGAAGGUGGUAUAAACUAUACAAACCCUCGUAGUGUCAAAAGAUAUUACACUCUGGAGAGUGCUAUUUGACAAGGAUUGCUCCUUGACAAAGCGUGGAAAAUGCACGAAUCUAGAAGGUCUUUUCGUUUUUUUCCUUUUUGUUUAAUGGUUUCUUUUAAUAUUUUUGAGGUGAAUAUAUAUGGAAGGUCUUUUUCACAUCUCUCUUUCUUGUCUUUAAUGGUUUCGUUCGUUUGUACGCUCCAUUCCUAGUCAUGGACACAUGAUUCCUUCUAUCCAGGUUUAAUUUUGUGCAUAUCUUUAGAUUCCUUUCUCUUGUAGUUAUGUACAGCUGUUAAUUUUCAGCGCAACAUGCUGAUCAUGAGCCAGUUUGUGUUCGACUCAAACAGGUUCAAUAAAGUUAUAGAAUUUGACUUGAAAUAAUAUGGAGCCACACGAAACUAGCUCAUUUGAUAAACAAGCCAAAUCUCAGCUUACCCUGUCUUGCUCGCGUUCGGUACAUUUACCCCAUCACAUCUCUCAUAAAUGGAAAGGAUUAGUGAUAUCAUGGUGCAUGAAUUUAGCAAGGAUUUGGUGUUCUCAAGUCAUAAUAAGAUAGAAUCACACGUUAUCGCGUUAUUUAUACAUCAGUAAGUAUUAGUCAAAUUUAAAAUUCCUGAUACAAAGUGCGUGUUCCUACGCAGGUCGAAAUUAUACAUAAAUAUUUAGCAGAGCUUUGCACAAUAAGCUAAAAAUCUGAUGGUUGGUAUUCGAAAUCGCAAGUUCGAAAUCUAAUUGCUUCACAUUUUUAAUUAGCUGCGAGCAAAGUAGAAUUGUUGCCGACAUUUGUAUAGAUUGUAAAUGUUUUUUUUUUUUUCUAUUGCCUAAAUAUGAUAGUUGGAUUAGUUCCAAUGUUCAAUAGUGUGUUAAACACUAUCUUGUAUUAAAUUUCACUUGUGAUAUUCGUAAAUAAUUUUUUACUUUCUCAGCAAAAUUGAAUAUGAAUUAUCACCAAUCACUAUCAUGUUUAUUAUUAUUGUGGAGAAUGAUGUUUUGCUACACUAUGCAUGAAUGUAAACUAGUUUACUGAUUUUUUUUUUUUUUUUUUUUCUAAUGUUAUGAAAUAAAUUGGUAGGUCCCAAUCCAAAAACUCCCUAGUAAUUAACAAAAUAAAAAUACUGAUCCAAACCUGUUUUUGAACCAAGCUCACACCUUAGUUACCACCCAAUUAAGAUUCAGUGUUUUCAUAGAUUAAUUAUGAUAACAGCUAUGUAUUAAUACACUUAUACUAUAUUAUUUAUAAAAUUUAAUACGAUGGAAAACGACUCACAAAUAACCUUAGCAACGCAUCUCCUGUGGGGCAACUCAGAGUGCACGCUAAGAGCCAAGUAAUUAAUAAGCCAAAUAAGCCCGCGUAUUAUAUAGGUGAAAAUAUGGAGAGACACCCUCAACUAUAGGAUAUUUUGAAACAAACCUCUUUUUUUUAUAUAGUAAAAGUGUACAAAUAACUUAUUCGGAAUUAUGAAUUAUUUUGAGUCGGUUAUCUAAACUUUUAAAAUUUAAAUUUUAUCAUCCAGUUUUUUAAUUUGUUUGAUUUAAGUUAAUCAAUAAUGCUUUGACUUUAAAGUUUAAAUAUGUAGUUUAUUUUUCAGAUUAAAUUAGUACAACUCAUGCAAUUCUUACAACUUUAAAUUUAUUAAAGUAACUAAUUAUUUUAAAUUUUAAAUUCAAAGUGUCUUGACUUAUUCAAAUCAAACAAAUUGAAAGAUUAGAUAGUAAAAUUAAAAUUUUAAAAAAUUAGAUAGGCGACUCAAAAUAGUUUAUAGUUCAGAUAAGUUUUAUACAUUUUUACCUUAUUUUCUCACUAAGAGAAAACCUGAAAUUCUAAUUUUAUGUAGAAUUAAGUGAUUUUAGUCCAAAAAAAUAAAGGAAUUCUUUUAAAUUCAUUACUAAGUUUAUCAAGUUUUAAAAAAUUUUAAUGCAAGUGUAAAAAAUUUGAAUAAAAAAGUUUGAAAGCUUUCUCUCAAAAAAAAAAAAAACCUGUUGAGGGGCCAAUUUCAAUAUUCUUAUAGCUAAGGGUGAAUAGUACCAUUUAUUUAUCGAUUUUAUGAGAGGAGGGCCUAAGCAGCUACGUCACCCCUUCUACGCUGCUUCCAAAAAAACCCACGUCAUAAAUAUCACUUCCAAAAUAAAUAUAAAAAAUUUUAAAAUAAUUUUAAUUAUUUUAAUACUAUGAAAUUAUGAUAGCAACAGCCACGGAUAAACAUACAUAUGAUAAUAUGGUUAUAUAUUUUUUCGAUAGUAAUUACUAUUUUAAUUUUAUAAGAUUAAAAAAUUAAAAAAUUUCAAAUUUUUAAUUUUUUAAAACAUAAAAAUAGUACUUUUAGACAAACCAUUACCUAUAUUACAUGUUCAAUAAUAAUUUAUGUACUACAAUUUUUUAAAAAUCUACUUUUCUAGUUUGCUUUAAUAAUUAAUACUCGGAAGGCCGAUAGCCAUGACUUCUUAGAAUUAUGUAUUUCAUUUAUUAAAUAAAUUAUAUUAUUCCAAAGUAAUAAUUUGUAGUCUAAAUAUAAUUUAUCUGUGUUAUAAACGCCAAGCAAUGCUAUUCAUAACACUGUAAAAAAAAAGUAUAUAUCAUAUAUUUUACUCAUCCAAUGAUUGUAAUAUUUUUUCCAGAUAUAUCAUGAUGGAUAAAAAAAACUCCAUUGAUAGUAUCAAGCAGCUUGUGCUAUCGAGUAUUCGACCGUUAAAUGAUAGGAUAUGCUGUUAGGAUGACAGUGGUUCUCUAUAAUUUAGUCAGUGGUUGGUUGGAUUGUAUAAUUUAACGGAUGGAAAUGAUCAGAAGAUAGAUCUAAUAAUAAAAACUUUGAUAGUUUUAAAAAUUUGAUACUAUCGAUAGUAUAGUAGCCGAACAGUAUUUACGUACAUGAGCAUGUACUUUGCUUUAGUGACCACUCUAUGUAUAGAUGUACUGUGUCCAAAAAUUCCAAUUAACAUGUAAACUUUCAAAUUGAUCCAAGGACUAAGUUUCCAAUUUAAUAUUUUAUAUAGGGAACGUGCUUGGGUACAUUAAUGAAUAAUGACCACCCUUUAUGGAACUUUUUAUUUAAAAGAAAAACUGGUUGAUGCUGAAAAAGAAUUGGGCCAAAAAAAUAAUUUUUCGUCAAAAGACGAAAAUAUUAUUAAUUUAUUUUAAAAUUAAUUAUAUUAAGUGAAUAUCACGUGUGUGAAUAUAUAUAUAUAUAUAUAUAUAUAUAUAUAUAUAUAGAGAGAGAGAGAGAGAGAGAGAGAGAGAGCGUCAACAUCUAAAUCUAUAGUUAAAAAUAAUAAAUUCAAAUAUACUUCUAAAACCACACCGACUAGAAUAAUUAGAUAUAUGAGGCUCUUAAAUAGAAAAAGUACAAGACUUUCUAAAAUUAACCUAAAAUAAUAAAAACGGAGGUCUAAACAUAUGAAUUUGAAUUCCAAACUUGGCCUGAAUAAUUUUCCUAGUUUGAUGUGUAGAACUUGAAAAAUAUUUUUCCAAUUAAAAUUUUAUCCGUUUAUAAAUUUCUGCACCAAUUGUAAAAAGUUAAAAAUUGUCGAACUAAGCAAAAUUUUCGCUUUAAUUUAGCUGAGUGGGUCGUCUUAUUUCAAAAAUUUUAACACUAAAUUGGCUGCAUCACGGAACGUCCGAUAAACCUGCUAUCCACUGCAAUUAAUUUUAUAUAUAUAUAUAGACCUAGACUGGAAUACUAUCAAUAGCACUAAGCUAUUGGUGCUACUAGGUUUUCUACCCUUAGAUGAAAAAAAUAUACGGUUAGGAUGAUAUGGGCCCUCUAGGGUUGGGUAAGUUGUUGGUUUAAUAAUAUAAUCUAAUGGGUGAAAAUAGUCAAAUAAUUAAAUCUAAUGACGGAAAACUUUAGCAUCAAACAUUUUGUGCUAUCGAUAGUAUCCCAGCCAAACUAUAUAUAUAUAUAAUAUAUAUAAUAUAUAUAUAUAUAUAUAUAUAUAUAUAUAUACUAGUUGAAUGUACGUGCAAAUGCACGUAACAAUUAUUAUAAUUUAUUUUAAAUCAGUAUACAUUUGUAUAUUAUAUAUAUCCAAAAUUUUACAAUAAAAACUAUAUUUAUAAAUUAAUUUGUUAUAUUUUAUUAGAAAAUAUUUACAAUAUCUUACCGUGUUCGUUUUUUUAUAUAUAAAUACAUAAAACAUUUUUAUAUACUUUUUGAUUUUUGAUAAAUCAAAUUUAAGUAUGUGUUUUAAAUUAAAAGCAUAGAAAUUUAAUUCACAUUUACUUUAAAAUUUAAAAUUUAAUUUUGAUCCACUGUAACAAAAAAAUUAAUUAUUGAUUCAAAUUUGAUAUAAAAAAUUAAUUAAAUUUAAUUUAUAAUUUAAACUCAAAUUUUAAUUUUAAUGUAAAAUAGAUUAAUAGGAAUGCUAUUUUUUUAACAAAUAGAUCAUAACUAUUUAUUUUUAUUGAGAAAUUUUUUACCAAAUUGAUUAUAAACGUAGGAUUGAAUUUAUAGAUGGAUAGGAAUGCUAUUUUUAAAUAAAUUGAUCAUAGCUGUUCUUUUUUGAAAUAUUUUGUUAACAAAUUAAUCAUAACCAUUUAUAUGGAAUAGAUUUCAAUAUUUAGUAGAGAUUUAAUAGAUUGAUCAUAACCGUUCGUUCUUAUUUGAGAUAUUUUUAACAAAAAAAUCAUAAUCAUUCAUAGGGAAUAUUUUUUUAUUCCUUUUUGGAUUCCGUUUGUCAUUGUCGGAAUUUCUAUACGCUUUUAUAUAUAUAUAUAUAUAUAUAUAUAUAUAUAUAUAUAUAUAUAUAUUAGGAAUUCUGCUACCAUACUAUCUAUAAUAUCAAGCAUUUAGUACUAUUGAGUUUUCGACCGUUGGAUAAAUGGAUAUACGGUUAGGAUGAUAGUGGUCCUCUAAGAUUGAGUGGUUGGUUGGUUGAAUAGGAUACUCUAACAGAUGAAAAUGAUUAAAAGGUAGAUCUAAUGACAGAAAAUUCGAUAGUACCAAAAGUUUGAUACUAUUGAUAGUAUGACUUAGAAUAAAUUUUUAAUUAGGCUUCGUUUCGUUCGGGGUUAAGUAAGAACUAGUUAUUUUAGGAAUAUGGUUAAGUUCAGAGUUAAGCCUGAAAUAGAUUAAUUUUGCGUUUGGAUAAAAAUUUAGUUGUUUUUGGGAAUAAGAACAAUAACGUUUGGAUAGAUAAUAUGUAAUAAAAAGAAUAGUGGAUAGUUAUAAAUGAAAAUUAAUGAUUUUUCCCCAAUUUUUAUAUUUGAAUUUAAAUUUUUUAUUUUAUUUUUAAAAUUUUAAAUUUAAAUAGAUAACCUUUAAAAUUAAAAAAUUCAAAAUUAAAAUCUAUAUUUUUAAAUCUCAAAUUUAAAAAAUUAAAGUUAUAACUUUUUAAUCAAAUCUAACAAAUAUAAAAUUUAAAUAAUUAAAAAUAACAAUUUAAAUUUAAAAAUUCAAAAUUAAAAAUUGAAAAUUGAAAAUUUAAAAAUAUAAAUAUAUAUUUUAAGAUUAUAAAUCAUAAAAUUUUAAAAUUUCAAAUAUAAAAUUUAAAAAAUUUAAAAUAAUAAUUUAAAAUUUAAAAUUGGAUAAUUAAAAAUUUAAAAUUUUUAAAUUUAAAAUUAAAAUUUAAAAUUUAAAAAUAUAAAUAUUAAUUUAAUAUUACAAAUUAAAUAUUUUAAAAAUUUCAAAUAUAAAAUGUCAAAUUUAAAAUUUAAACAAUUAAACAUAAAAUUGAAAAUUGAAAAUAUUAAUAUUAAAUUUAAGAUUAUAAAUUAUAAAUUUUUAAAAUUUAUAAAUUAAAAUUAAAAUUUAAAUUUAUAUUUAAAAAUUAAAUUGGUGUGAGAUUAACUUAAUCCCACCCUGUGUGAGUGUUAACCCGGGUUAAUGGGGGGAUAACCCCUUAUCCUCCUUUAACCCCCAACCAAACGCAAUCUAAUAGAAGAUUAAAAAUGGUGACAAAUUAAUAUCCGUUGCUUCUUUCACCCUUCCUCCGAAAUCACGUGGUCUCAUAUUUCCACCUCCUUUUGCUUCCACGAAACUGCACCCAAAAAAGGCGCGGCCGCAUUUGCGCCACACAAAUAAUUGAAUCCCCGCACACCCCACACACAUGUGUAUAUAAACCCACUCCAUUCCACAACAACUAAUUAAACCUGUCCACAAUUUGUCUCUCCCACCACUACUGUUUCUCCUCAACUCAACACAACAGGGGGAAUGGAUAACCACCUAAGCGUACACCAAAAGCACCCCAGCAACCAUGCCAAUAAGGCGAACAAGAAGAGCAAGAAAAAGAAGCAGCCCUUCAAGGUUGUGUACAUAUCUAAUCCGCUGAAGGUUACCCUGACUGCCGACAACUUCCGCGCCCGCGUGCAGGAGCUCACGGGCCGAGAGUCCAACGUCGCCGACGAGGGCGUCGCAGGAUUCAGCGACACGAGCCACGAUACUACUUCCCCGGUGUCGGCGGCGGCGGCGGCGGUGGUCGGGCCGAGGCCCGAUUCGAAUAGGCUAGCGGAUGAGUACUCUUUCGGCGCCGUGGCGCCGCUGUAUGAUCAGAUGUUUGGUGAAGCGUUCUCCGCGCCCCAAGCGCCCGGUAACUUUCCGGGACUCUUUUAUGAGCCGCGUACCGAGGGUGGAUUCUCCCAUGCAGCAUAGGUAAAUUACGUUAGUGAAUGAAUAGUAGGCUUCUGGGGUUGUGCUCCUCAUAGUGUGUAAGUAUUGUUGCCUAAUAUUGUUCAUAUUUUUCUAAAAUGAAAAGGUAGCAUGUAUACAUAUGUAUGACUUGUUUUGUUUAUUACUUCAGAAAAAAAAAAUUAGUUAGAAAUAUGUGUUGGUUUAAAAAAACCAGUAUUUUGCCCCUAUGGCAGGAGAUUUCAUGUUUGAAAUGACGGAAGAUCGGAUUGGAUUAAGUCAUGCAUAUUCAAAAUGGUGAAAGAUUGAUUGGACCGAGUCACAAUCGAAUUCCGUUGGCGUUAUGUUUCCAUGCUAAGUGAAUUAAUUAUAUAUUUCUAACAGUUUGAGCUUUUGGAAGCUAUUAGGUUUCGAAUUUGAAAUCUCGGAUACCAGCCAUCAGAUCUUUUGCGACCUGCUACGGUUAGGGUUUGUGAGAUCUUAAGUUUUGGUUGCUGCAGCAGCAAGCUUUUUAUUUCGUCGUAGCUUCGACCGUAGAAGUAGAUAGGAAUAAAAUUUUGCAUCUCAAAAAGAGAAACUUUAAAGCAGUGAUAUUGCUGCAGAGUAAAUUUUAAAUUUGGUGCUUUUGAUUGUUUGGACUUGUUACUAAUUAUUCAAAUAAAGCCUCAACUUGUCGAACUGUGUACACGCACUUGCAAAGAGGAGAACGAAGAACGUUAAACUGUAAUGUUUAUUAUCAGAUCAGUGGCGUUAACUAUUAAUUUGAAAAUUUUGAGUUAUUAAAAACAUAUAACUAAUUUAUUUAAAAUGUAUAGAUAUGGCGUAUAUGGAUCUCGAUUGUGACUUUAUCCAAUCCAGCCUCCCAUUACUUCGAAUAUGAUUCGAUCAAAUUUGAUCUCAUGUCAUUUCAAACGCAACUCAAUCCAACGUAGACUCCCACUACAAGAUAGAAUACUGUCUCUCUUAAGCCAACAAUUUUAAUCAAUAUUUGAUCAUAUUAACUUUAUAAUUAGUGCAAAAUGAAAGAAAACUGCUACUUAAUUUUUACUUUUAGUGAUGAGUAGAUAUAUAUAUAUAUAUAUUUUUCAGUUUUUAGGACAUUACAGUUAUUAUUAUUAUUAUACCCACAAUCAAACCAUUUUUUUUCGUGAAUUGUAUUAACUAUCCAAUUGAAACCCUCUAGAUCAGCAUAUAUAUUUUAGUAAAAUAUUAAAUAUUCUGUGCAUAAAGUGGAUGUAACAUUAAUUACUUAACAUAUAAUAAUUUCAUGAAGGCUUUGAUCUAAGACUACGUAUUUGAGCUCAAACAAUCCAUUUAUCCUUAGGCUCACCACAAUAAAGGCCCACAUAAGCUAUGUGUGUUUAAUCACAUAAUUAUCAGUAAAUUAUGGCCCAUUGGUAAUGAAGAAGUUCACACGUAACUAUCCAUUAUGGAAUGAUUUGCUUACCCACUCUAUUUAUAUAACAUUUACAAAAAAAAAUAUAUGAUUUGUGCUGCUGAAGAAUAAAGAGACAAUUGUUAAUUAUAUUACAGUAUGAGGCCUAAAAAAGGACAAAAAAAAAGGUAUAUAUAUAUAUAUAGAGAGAGAGAGAGAGAGAGAGAGAGAGAGAGAGAGAAUGGAGAUGUGAAAGCAACUUCUAAUUCAUUAUAUGCUAUUUAUUCUCAUAAUCUGAAUGCUUUGCACCAUAAUAAAAAAGUUAUAUUUCAUAGUAUUGUUUUACGUGAUAUGCAUGAUUCGAUCAGUUCGAAUUUUAAUUUGUUAUUAUACACGUAAACUGCUUACAAAAUAGCACCUUAAUUACAAUCAAAUAAUCAAAUAAUACAAAUUAAUUGACAAUAGAGCCUCAGAUAAUUUAGAUCGAACAACAUGUUGUUGCUCGGACAUCCUCAUUAAAAAUAAUAAAAUAAAAAAAUCCCUAAUUUCAAACUCCAAUUUGUUAUGGCCCAUUAGGAAUUUUUAAUGGUUGGUAACAUCGUUAUUAAUUGCAGCAUUUAUUGACUUCCAUUACUACGUACAUAUAAAUAAAUCAAUAUGAUAAUAAUAUUGAUAAGGUGAGAAGAGGUUGGAAGUAAUUACUAAUUACUUAAUAAUUAGCAAUGUUUAUAUUAUUUUUUACUGACAAAAAUGGCAAUGUGGGUUACAUUUAACAGCGGAACCAAUAACCCAACAACCCGAUUAAAACUAAUGUGUUAUAUUGGGUCCUAAUUUUUGUGUUUGUAAAUUCAUUCGAUUGUUAAAUUUGUAUCAGGUUCUGAUCUCAUCAAUAUUCGAACCUUCAAUUUCGUGCGUUAGUAGUAGACGUCGAUUUAUGAAUAACUUUGAUACCAGAUUAUCGAAAAGAUAAAUUUAAUAAAAAAAAAAAAAUCAGUGUUAGGAUUUUGAAAAACCCAGCUUUAAUUCGGGUUGGAACCACAUUGGAUCCGAACCCGAUUCGCUUUAAAUCGUGACCGGGUCCCCAACGCCAAACCCAUCACCGUCGACGCCACGUCAUCACGAAGAUUCUCCAGCGUUGAAUGCGUAACGCCAAAAAUAUCCAAGCCGACGUGGCGUAGAGUGGGACCCCUACCCCACCUAUGCGGGCCCCACAAGUCAGUGAUAUACGCAACUAUUUUUUGUUAUUACCACCAGUGGCACUGGCCGUAAAUAACACCAACCACGGCCCCUAUUUACCAACUCCCUUCAACCUCCUCCCCCCUCCUCCUCUUCUUCUCCUUCCUCCUCUUCGUCUCCUUCCUCUCUACUACACAUCUCCACGUAGUAGUCAUCGUCGUCCUCGUUUUCCCCUCUUCUUCUUCUUCUUCGAGGGAUCUACCCCACGGAGAGGGGAACGAGGGGGGGGGGGGGGGGGGGGGGGGGGUGGUGAGGCGACAUGGGAAACGUGACCGGGAGGGAGGAGGAGAACGGUGGAGGCGAUGACGAGGACCCCUCGGCGAGAUCGUCGGAGGGGGGAUUCGCGCCCUACCACGCGGGCUCGGCGGAUUCCAUAGGCGGCGGAGGCGGCGGAGAGUCGCCGCCGCAGAGUCCCCGGCGAUCCCCAUCCCCCUUCAUGUUCGCUCCCCAGGUGAUUUUGAUAAUGAUGAUGAUGAUGAUUAUGAUGAUGCUUUAAUUGUUGAUUUAUUUUCGAAUUUGUUUAAGUUUGAUUGUUUGGAUGUGUUACAUUGGAGUUUAUCUCUCGUUGUUUAGUACUAUUGAUUUUGGAAUUUAGUGGUUGAGUAUGGGGCUAAAACUUCUACGUGGAUUUGGUACGGUGGAGAGAAAUAAGAGGUUUCAAUUUUAUUGGUAUAUGGAUAUGAGUUUUGACGCAUUAUUUUAGUCGUGCUUUUGCAAUUGGAUUUAUGGAUUAUGUGAGGAAAAGGUGAAAGGAGAGAUGCGAAAACAGGGUAGCGGGGGAUUGUUAUUUGUUCCGUAAUUCAAGGUUUUGGUUAAAAAGGGUCUCAAAAAUGUUCUUAUAAACGAGUAGCUUCAAAAUAUUACAACAAUGUGAAAAAAUCAUAGGAUGCACUUGUGAGAAACUAACUAAAUAUUAAAAUAUUAGUCCUGUACAAGUUUAGAAUUUACAGAGACUUUUUAGGCUGUGAAGAUUCUGAAGUUGAUGAGAAAAUUUUGCAACCUUUGGUGAUUUCUGGUAUUCAUUUUUAAGAUGUUUCCUCCGAGAAAUUAAAUGCCCUAGGCCCUAUUAAUUGUAAAUAUUACCUACUGAUUGGCUUCUGGAGGAACACUACAUUACUUGGCCGCAUCGGUUUAUUCAUGAAGUUUGAAUUGAGAACAAAUUCUUUGAGCUAAACACCGACAACUCACCAAGAUAAAAUUGCCAAGAAACAAUAAUUUUGACAGCAAAAUGAAUAAAAGUAUCAUUAGCCAAUUUACUGAGAUCAGUCCAAAACAUAGUAAUGAGCCCAAAUUAGAAGGGUUUCAAUUUGGUCUUACCCAAAAGUCAAAUCCUUGCUAUUAUUAGUUAGUACAUUAAUUCGUAUACCAACCACUGCAUCAAGCUAAUCCAACCUAUACAUCUUCAUCCGCACCAGCAAACGCCCAAGCUAUUAGUGCAUGACUUUGCUUGUAACUGGACUCUUGCUUCUGCAUUCUCUGAAAACAUUUUGCAACUUCAUAAAUUUUGCUUGUAAGUUGUACCUAGGAAAUUUUGAACGCAUGUGGUUUUCAAACAUGUCAUCCUUUAUUUUCUAAAAUGUUUAUACUCAUGCGAAUCUGCAUGUUGAAAUUUUCAUUGGGCUGCUGCCUCGGACAGUAAGCGAAGAUUCACUAUUUUCUCAAAUUAUUCGUUCUUAUGUUUCAGUACCUUUUUUUGGUAAUGAUAUUUGCUAGGCAUUUAUGAGGGCAGAAUUGUGAUCGGGUGUUUCUCAGCGAAGUUAAAUUAACGCCUAACAGCAGUGGUUAGUGGUGAUCGAAUCAUUCUCUUCUAAGUAAUACUUGACGAAGUACUGCAUGUGGAAAAUUAGUUUUGAUAUGUGAUGACUUAAGAGUGCCUCUUAGAUAAGUAACAUGGAACCCCCUGGAUCUUUAUAGAAUCACUGUGGAAAGUGAUUACUGUGGUGAAAUAAGACAUCAAUCAUUGAUUCUGGGCCAAAUUGUCAUCUCGUAAACGAAGUCCAUAUUAAUUGCCCUUUGAUAUGUGCAGUAAUGUAAUUUGAUGCUUCAACUGAAUUUGACAUGUAAUUUGAUUCUUCAGGUCCCUGUACCUCCUUUGCAAAGACACAGUGAUUCACCUCAACUUUCCAAUCAAGUGUCGACGAACGAACAACAUGGAAGUUCCAAAGAUCCUCCUGAGAGGAAAAUCCCAGUCUUGCUAGUAUGGACCCUAGGAGGAAAGAAAGUUCAUGUAGAAGGAUCAUGGGACAACUGGACAGAAAAGUAUGCUAACUGAAAAGCAUUUUAGGGGCUCUGUUUGCUCGUGCAUUAUUUCUUCACUUCUUUUAUAGAUCUGAGACUUUAAAAUUAUGCAAACUAUGAAUGAUGAUAAUUUGUGAGUGCCGCAUCUUUUCCAGGUUAUCCCUACAGAGAUCGGGCAAGGAUCAUUCCAUUUUAAUGUCUCUACCAUCUGGAAUCUACCGUUACAGAUUCAUUGUUGAUGGUGAACGGAGAUUCAUUCCUGAUUUUCCUUGCAUAACGGAUGAGACGGGGAAUACUGUUAAUUUUCUUGACGUCGAUGUGAGUGCUUACUCUCUUAAAAUCUAAUAUCGUGGGGCUAGUUACCAAUUCAGUCUUUUUGAUCCUGAUUUCAUCUAUGUUCUCAGGAUUUUGAUUCCGACAUUUUAGUCCUUGAAGUUUGUUCCACGUAAUAGUCUAUUGGAAAUGCCAAAACGUAGCAUCAUUGGGUAAAACUGAACCUAAAAGGCGUGGAAUCUUUUAAAAUGUAGACAAAACGUAAGGACCUAACUGUUAUGCAUGACAAACUUUAGAGUAUAUUAUUAAAAUUGAAACUCUGAUGACAUAAUUAAGAUUAGUGUCAAACUUCAAUAACUAAAUUUGUACUUAACCUGAUAAAGUAAUACCAUUUUGCUAGCAUUUUUUGGCUUUCAAAGUUGUAGAUGUUUGUCCCGAAAUUUGCCAACCAGCUUAGUUAGUCCCCUACAAAUUUCUUGAAGGCAAUGAAAACUAAGAGAUGCACACUCUUUUUCUCUUUUUUCCUUUUUUGUUUUUCCACAUUGUUCGAUCUAGGAUUAUGUUCCGGAUAAUGUAGCAGGCGUCUCCGAAUUCGACCACCCACCUUCUCCUGAUUCCAGCUACAGUUGGCAGGAGCCCUCCGAUCAGGACUUUGCGAAGGAGCCGCCCGCUCUCCCACCGCAGCUACACUUCACUGUUCUUGACCUGGAAAACUCCGAGGCAGCAGCCACCGUGAAGCCCCACCACGUUCUCCUGAACCACCUCUUCAUAGAGAAGCCAGGGGGUCCCCAGCCACUCGUCGGUCUCGGCUUCACUCACAGGUUUCAAUCCAAAUACGUCACAGUCGUCUUGUACAAGCCCAUGGAAUGAUAACAUCGCCCGUCCUCAUUCAAUUUCGCAUAUAUAGAUAUGUUCAAAACAGCGGCUUCUCUUAGUUUUACGAAUUUCUAGGAAACACAUCAAUUCAAAUUCUUUUUGCUUUGUACAUGGAUGUGAGAACUUCUGGGUAAUGUUUUACGAGCUGCCCGUCACAUUGGUUGUAUCUGCCAUUCUUUCUUAGGAGCAAAAUGUAAAAAAUUGCCAAAACAGUGAAGGGAUGCCAAAACUAUCAGAAAUUAGUUCGCUUCCUUCUCUCUCUCUCUCUCUCUCUCUCUCUCUCUCUCUCUCUGAGAAACCUGUAGACGUUGCAAUUUAGAUUUAAUACAUUUGGUUUCUGUUGAUUACUGUUUAAUGAGGUAGCAUUAAUAUCAUUCAAAAGUUUUAGUUGGUGUGUAUUUGUCAUGUUACUUUCUACUUGAUUUGUGCAUAAGGUUUCAGGUACGGUAAGUGUGCAAUAUUUAUGCGAUCAAAAUUGUAUUGUAUUUGAGAGGAAAAAGCCUAACUGUUCUUGCGACGUGGAGUUUAUCCGUUUGUGGGGUUAUAUUCUCAGAUUUUUUAGGAACUAGUUAGGAAUGAAUGUGUGCCCCAGGAAAAUGCUAUACUUUGCUUAUUAAAUACUGAAGAAUAGAAUGCUCCCUCCAAAAAAAGAAGAAGAAGAAGAAGAAGAAGAAGAAGGAACAAGAGAAAAGGACCGGAGAUCAGGAAUCAAUUAGGAGAAAGGGAAUUCUCUGUGCGGUUCCUUUCAACAGAACAUUACAAUUGCAUCUAAGGAGCCGUUUAGUUGCAUAUAGUUGCAAUUGUACUGUAGUUGUAACUGCAUGUAAAUACAAAUUCGGUGUUUGGUUUGAUGUAUUUAACUCCAAUUGCUGCAAUAGGAACUGCAAAAGGAGGCCCAAUUACAGCAGUUCGAACUACGCCGAAAUUGGUCGUAGUUCCAACUGCAGCAGUUGGAAAGAGUAACUUUAAAUAAAAGAUAUGCUUAUCUCCUCAAUUUUUUUUAAACAAAAAUUAUUAUUACUUUUUUUAACUUUGAAGGUAAUUUUACCAUCAUGUAUAUAAAAUGAUAAAAUUUAAAAAUUAUUUCUCAACUACAUGCAACUAAACAAAUUAUUUAUACUUACAGCGCUUUCUACUACAUCCAACCAAAUAGGAUUCAUAUAGUUAUAACGGAUGUAUUUUCAACUGCAUGCAUUUCUAAUUGCGCUUUCUGUUACUAACUCGUCACUGCCAACAUAUUCCUGCUCGAGAACUACUUGCGUGUUGUAACUUGUCACUGCCAAUUGCAUAUUAACUACGUGACUAUGCUUAGUUAGAAGCUGCGUUAGCCAAACAUAUUUUACUUUGAUUGUGCCAAGGGCCCAAGCAUAUUUUUCUCUCCGAUGCUAUAAGAAAGUGCACAGAAACUGCUAUCAAAAAAGUUUCUCAACAAUUUGGAUCCUAAUUAAAAUUUGAUAUGAACUUGGUAAUGUAUUUUAAGACGAGAAGGUUUUCAAAUUUCGGUUUUGGAACCUCUAAAGCCAUAACCGAUGUCUAACUCCCUAGCACUAAAUUUCAGUUUAUAUUUUGGGGUUCAAUUCACUUCGAUCAAUCAAACCAGAGUAGAGGCGUGGUCAUAUCUGCAUUUCCGUGAGCCAAUUUUUUCUUUUCGUGUUAGCAAAGAGACAUGCAGUCGAUAAGAAAUAAAAAAAGAAAAGGAAAAAGAAGAAGACAGAAGUUAGACUCCAAUCCAGUGAUUAAGGGCAUGUUUGUUUGAAUGGAAGUGUGGUGAAAAUGGAGAGGGGGAAGUUGUUUUCGUUAUAAACGAUCACUUCUGUUGUUUUUGAUUCGCCGUAAAAAAGUUAUAGUAGAAACUAGAGUUAACAUGAAACUACGUCGUGAGCCAAAGUCAAGUACGAGGAAUGGAGGUGAAGAAAAAAAAUAAUAGAAUAAUAUACUGGAUAAAAAUAGUUAUAUUUAAAUAUAUUUAAUUAUGGUACUAAUUAUUUUUUUUAUUCAGUUGGCAUAUUUAAAAUAUGAUACAAAUUGAUAAAUUAAGUUUUAAUAUUUUUUUAUUUAGUUUGUACAAUUAAAAUAUGAUAGAAAUUGAUUAAUUAAGUAUUUAUAUUUUUUUUACUUUAUAAUUUUAUUGUUGCAUUACUAUAAUUUAUGUAUAAAAAAUAAUUUAAUUAUUUUAAAUUAAAUUAUAAUUAUAUAAAAAUAUAAUUAUAUUGUUUUUAUUUAUUAAAUUAUUUAUUAUUUAUACAUAAAUUAUAAAUUAUAGUUUUAUAUCAUACAUUUCGUACCAAACAAACAACAGAAUUAAUAAAACUUCACUUUCACAACUACGAAACAAACAGUACGAAAGUAGUAAUUUUCACCUAACUUUACUUUAACCUAAAGUCCAGCGUCGGUGAAACCAACAUGCACUAAAUCGAACCAAAGUUACAUAGAUUUGGUUACGCUGAGCUUGGUCCACAUUGAAAAGUUUCCGAACCAAAUUGGCGCAAGUGAUCACAAGAUCUUAUUGCUAGGACGUGAUCGGUGGAUAACGUACCCGAAUCAGCUAUGUGGUGGACGAUAAAAGAUCAUAAUUAUGUCCUUUGCAUGCCUAGUUUCAUCAUAAAUUUUACUUUGAAAUUAAUUUUGAGACGAUCUUGCGCGGUGACCAGGUCGAGCUCCACUCAUUUAUGGCCAUAAUUUUAAGGAUAUGUGUUGUAUUUUAGGAUGUGCUAAGUAUUUUCCUAGCGCCCUUAGUUUCUUAGGAGAAUUUAAUGUCUCCAUUUGCUGCAUCCCUAAGGUGUUAUUUGCUCUUCAUAUUUUUUAAAUUUUUAACUGGAACGUCGGAAUUUUAUGUAAAAUAAAAAGUUGUAUAUUGUUGCCAUUAAAAUAUAUAUAUAUAUAUAUAUAUAUAUAUAUAAAAUUUGAUAAAUGUUAAGACUAGUGAUGAGUAGUUUUUUGUUAAAUCGAUUUUGGGGUAACAUGAUAUUGGAUCGAGUCUUAAACUUUCUUAACAUAUCCUGAGAUUGAUGAUAUGAUUCACUAGACAUCUACAUGACAAUAGGAAAAAAAUUAAAAAAAAAAGGAAAAAAAAAGGGCAUUCAUUGCCCAGUGCACUUGGUGCAGGGAGCAGGUUCUUUUGUUUGAGAGUGUCCGUCUCUUUUUCCGGUCAAUUUCAUCUUCUAUUUUCCAGCUCACAGAGUUUACACGUGGGUGGGUUCGCAUCUUAAAGCAUAAAAGUCAUUCAUGUACGUCCCUCUCCCAACCCAACCCCACCCUCUUCUUCCGAUUUGUACACUCACACUCUCUCUCUCUCUCUCUCUCUCUCUCUCUCUCUCUCUCUCUCUCCAGUGGGAGAGAUUUUACUAUAUUUAUCAAUCACACCGUAUAAUUUAUUAAUAAUAAAUUAUAUUAUUUAAAUUAAAAAAUAUAAUAAAAAUAUUUUUAAUAAUUAUAUAAUUUAUUAAUAAUAAAUUAUAUUUUAUAAAUUAAAAAUAUAAUAAAAAUAUUUUUAAUAAUUAUGAUGAAAUAUAAAAUUUAAGAAAAAUAAUAUGAUUAUUUGAUGUCGCUAUAUUAAUAAUAUAAUUGAUGUAUUCUAAAUUUUUUUUUUUCUUUAGUGAGCGCUUGAAUUAAUAACAUGAUACCCCCUAGUCCACUCUCUCUCUCUCUCUCUCUUAGGCACAAACCGGCCCUCUCCCUCUCAAACUAUUAUGUGGCUCUCUUUAAUAUGAUUAAUAUAACAUUUAAAGUAUGAUACCAACUGUUCUUAGUGUAGACGGUAAAAUACUCGAUAAUUGAUAUUUAAAAUUUGAAAUUCAAACCUUAACUAUUUUAUAUUUUUAAUUAAAUUAAAAAAAACUAAUAGCAUUUUAUCUUUUUAUAAAAAAUAAAUAAAGUCUGAUUCUAAGCCUUCAAUCAUUCACAUCCAUUUCAUUAGGAUGAAAAGGAAAAAAAUUAAAAACAAAACAAAAAAUAAAAUUUUUCUCAUUAUACUUAAUUAGACGAAGAAAAGAGAAGAAAAAAAAACGUCUUUAUUUUUGGAGAAAAAAGAAGUUGAUUGUUAUAAAUCUUUUAUUUAUUUUAUUUAAAAAGUAAGUUAGCUGAAAAAUAUGUAUCAACUAAUAUUUGAAUUUGGAACCUCCAAUAUUAAUUAUCAUAUUCUUUUACAUUUAUUUUAGGACGAUUGGUGCUGAUAAUAAUAUUAUUGAUGUCCUAUUCGUAUUUAAUGGGAUUUGGUGGGUCAUUAACGUCUCUCUCCACAGUCCACAUCAGUAGUACCCUCUCUCUCUCUCUCUCUCUCUCUCUCUCUCUCUCUCUCACUUUUUGUGUACCAGCUUUUGCAGUACACUGCUCCCUCUUCCCCUACUCUCGCAUUCAGGGGCUCAGAGCACGAUAAAAGUUAAAGAACACUCAUCCUGUUUCUCGGCUUUCUCCCCUCCCUAUCCUACAAAAUGAUUCCCCUCGCAAAGAUUAGGAUAUCAAAUUAUUGCCUGCACCUGGUGUAUCCAUAUGCUUCCCGCACAUGCAACACCUUAUUUCCCAACGAAGCCGAAUAACCUCUUAUUACUGGAUCCACAUAUUGUAAUUUUAUUAUAGUUACAACGAAGCCCAAUAGCCUCUUAUUACAGUAACUUUUUUCAAGAUGUGAAAUAUGAGAAGCAGUUGUACAUCCCGCGCAUGAAUGUGCGCGCCAAACACUUCCAAAUUAAAACACUCCUAAAAAAAGAAAAGAAGCCCAAACUUAUAACAUAGUUUCAGCAACUCGCACAUUAAUAAUCUUUAAAAUUAGACUAACUAUUUCCAGCGCAAAUGACAAAAAAUUUAACGGUUAACAUUUAGAGAUCUAAUUAUACUUUAUAUUUUUAGUUAAUUUUAUUUUUUUAAAAAUAAACUAAACAUGAAACAUGCUAUGUACUUUUUUUUUUUUUAAAUCUCUAAAAUUAGAUUCUUCGUUUUCCUCCGAUACAAUCACAAAACGAUACAAGUAGGCAGCAAGCGAUUAAUCACCCACCGUCCAUCGACAUCUAUAUCCGUUAGACCAAACCUAAGACCUAAUCACCCAACGUAAAUAAUCGUGCAACGUAACAUAAAGUUGGGCGAGAGGACGCCACGUGGCGCUGUGUCGUAAAGCCAAAGCUUAGGAUUCGAGUCCGGAAUCCGGAUCGCCUCGACCCCCACCAUCAGUGUCCCGAAACCGCACUUUUCCCUUUUACCUUUAUUGUCUGUUUAAUCAUCAUAUACGACAAAUCAAAAAUCCGACCCGUUAAGAGAAAGUGAUUUGACAAAAUUAACCCCCACCAAACUACGGGAACAAAGCCGUCCAGGCCCAUUUUCUGCGCGCUUCUUCUCUUCGAAGCACGUGGCGUUGUCUGGGUAACUAAGGAGGUUAAAAUGUAGAGAAGCCCCUCAACUAUAGGCAAGUUUGAAAUUCAGCCUUCAACUGUUUUUCUCACUUAUCACACUUUCUUAACUUUAAUUAAUUUAAUUUAAAUUAAUUCUAAAUUAAAUCAGAAUUUUGUUGAAUUAACGGGUAUGCUAGUUAUUAUUAUAGAUUAUAACUAAUAAAACUCAUGGUCUUUUAAGCUAAAAUAAUAAUGAAAAAUAAUUAAACUUGGCAAAAUUAUCAUUAGAUUCAAUAAAAUAUUUACUUUAAUUGGUAGAAAUGGCUUUAGUAAUCAGAUACUAAAUUCAAAUUAAGGAGAGGGUAUACUAUAUUUAUAAGUUAUUGAUUUAUUGUAACCUAUGACCUAACAAUAUAUAAUAACAUAUUAGUGAGAUCUACAUAUAAAAGAAAAUAACUAAAGGUUGUAUUUCCACGCUAUAUAGUUGAGGGGGGCCUGCGCAUAUAUACGUAUACCUCCAAGUCCUAGAAUCUCUCCUGUGUCCGUUAGCGGGCGCAUGGCAUUUCCGUGAUUUCGCCCACAUACACGGUUUAAGUUUUAAUCGUGGGGGUUUUAGUGAGAGAGGAGCAGUGCACGCUCUUCUCUUCUCCCACUCUCUCUCUUCUCACUCCUCACCUCCUCCUUUAUUGCCUUUAUCUCUCUCUCUCUGUUCAACAAAAGAGAGGUAGAGAGAGAAGAGGAUGAGGUAAGGGGAAACGAGAUGCGAAACGAGAUGGGAAACGCGAAGAAGACGAUGCUAACGUCUUCGUCCCGGCGCGAGGCCGGGUCCGGUCACGGCCCCUCCACCAGCAAGCGGAGCAUCGGAUGCAUCUCCGGUAUCUUCCACUUCUUCUCCCGCCACCAUUCCCACCCCCGCAAACGCCUCACCCCUGGUAACUCCCACCCCCUCCCCCCCAAACCCCUCUCUAGAUCUCUCUCUCUCUACUCUCAACGUUAAAACGCCGUUAUCUCUACAGCUUCGAAGAAGGAGAACGCCGUUAUCUCGCCGCUAAAACGGAACGAAGCAGAACACGAGGACGGUAAAAAGAGGGAUGCGUACCUCGCCGUGACGGCGCCGUCGAGCGCGGCGGAGAUCCGGCGCCGCCGCUCGUGCGAUGCGCCGCGGAGCCCCACGAUCCCCGCCGAGAUCCGGCGAUCGUGCUCCGCGGCCGCGUCCCCCCGCGGCGCCGCCCCCGCCCUGGUGGCUCGGCUCAUGGGCCUCGAUGCGCCGCCGCCGACGUCGCCGCAGCCGCCGCGGAAGCUGCUGGGGGCGCUGGAGCGGUGCGACGAGGACCUCAAGGCGCUGCGGCGGAUCAUCGAGGCCGUACGAUCGGCGGAGAUGCGGGUGAAGGCGCUGGGAGCGGCGGGAUCGGACGGUGGGGAUUCGAGGAUGGAGAGGGGGAUCAGGUGGUGGGAGGGGAAGGGGGAGCUCCCGAGCCCUAAUUCGGUGCUCGACGCGAUCUCGUCGCCUCGGUUUCGAUCCAAAAGGCUGGACCAAUACGACGGUGGGUCUACUUAUACUCGCAAAUUAAUUAUUUUUUUUUAAAAAAUUAUUAUUAUGAACUUAAACGGCGCGAAUCUUGAUGCAGAGAAAAGCGCUGGAGCUGCGACUACGACCGUCGGAUCGAGGAUCGUGAAGCCCUCGCGCAUGGGCGUCGCCUUCUCAGGUAAACGGUCAACAACAAAUAAAAUGAUGUCUCAAACAUUUCCAGAAAAAGAAAAAGAAAAUUCCGAGCGUUCCAAUGAAAUAUCGCCACGUAAUUAACGUUCUCUUGUUCUUUUAAAAUUUUGUUUUACGUGUUCGGUAUUGUCAAUUGCGCCUUGUCUUCCAAGUUUUGUGUGAACUCGGUGCGUAAUAUCGAACGAUCAAUAUUUAAAGUUGAAAUUUAAUUUAAUAAGAUGUAAUUUAUAAUACUUAACAUAUUUUAUAUAGAAAAGUUAAUGUUUUUGAAAGUUUAUAAAAUUUAUAUAUAUAACUAACGAAAUUAUAAUUUCAAAGUUUAUAUUGUAAAAAUUUAGAAGCAUCCGUACUGGGUGCACCGGGUGCAUGCAAUAAAUUUUGUCUCCUCCUCUGGUCCGAGGCCUAAACGCUUGCAUGAAUGUCACGCUAGGGAACCACAACAUGGAGCCGCGCGGCAUCAUCCACCGUCCGACGACGAUCGAGGGGCUCCCAAGCAUGUACAAAGGAGCCAAAGCUUUCGACGAUUUCGGAGCGGAACGGAUCUCCGCGGGGACGGACGUCGGCGGGCGGCGCCUGCAGUGGCGGCGGCGGAGGAGGAGCCUCGCGAUGGCGCAGAGCGUCGACGAAGUGUGGGAGGAGGGGGUGUGGGAGGAGAAGUGGGAGCUGGGGAGAAUGGUGGUGGGAUUGGAGUGGGAUAUAUUGGAGUGUUUGGUGGAGGACGUGGUGUUGGAGCUCUUGUUAUCUCAUGAUCAGUGUGUUUGGAACUUCUCACUAAUGCCACUGAGGAGGUGCAGGAAGAGGUUGUGUUUCUAAUGAAUAAUUUGUCUUAACUAAUGAUUCUGCUUUAAAUAUGAGUAUACAGUAGAUGAUAAGUUUAAUUACUCUGCUAAUAAUACCACUAGUCUCUGGAAAAGCUGUAGUUGUGAGGUUUUUGCUGGCAAAAGUAUUCGGACUUGAGUAAUAAAAUUUGGUUUUUUCUUUUCAAAAGUUCAUAGUAGAAUAUAGCAAGACACUUGUGUUCUUUUCGUAUAAUCUCUACAUAUAUACAGUUGAGUAACUUAUUGAGAUACAACGCCACUUACACUAUCUCCUGCUGCAAGUAGCUAUGAAUAUUCGGAGAGAUCAAUCCUCCUGCCUAAUGGAGAGAUAGUUGGAGAGGUGACAAAACCCUAUACUUUUCAUUAUAAAACCAAUAAACCAGAAAAAGAUGGAUUGUUUUGCGAAAGAAUCUCUGAACCCAUAAAAACUGAAAUUUGUGCUUGUAGAAAUUAUGGAGUGAUCAGGGCUGAAAAAGAAAACCCGAAAUUUUGCGAACAAUGCUGGGUAGAAUUUGUUCUCUCGGAUAUGAAGAUGUCAAAUGAAAUACAUCAAACUCGCAUGUCCAGUGACUCAUGUGUGGUGGUAUUUGAUGUUGGAGGUUAGGGUUUUUGGGUGCUUAAAGUAUUACAUCAAGAGACGUCAAGUUUGGAACGCUCAACAGUGUUACCUCCAGCGUAGGAAACCCUAGAUUUAAUAAAUAAGCUAUUGGGCUCCAGAGAUAUGGGCCUUAAUACGCUUUCACUUAUUGGGCUUGUAUGUGAACAUAUUAUUUGGAUUAUAUUAUAACAAAAUAUCCAAUAACAAUAUAUCCAACAAUCUCCUCCUAUGUUCACCAUACAGCACAAUCCAAUACAGUGGUCAGUGUAAUGUUCAAACAAUUAUGAAUCAUCCACAUUCAGUCCAAGACAAUCAACUCGGAUUAAAAACUCAAUCAUCAAUUGUAAUUCAAAUGAGUGAAUCAUUCUUAUCAUGAAUCUGUUCUGAGAUCGACAUAUCCAAAAUGAUUCUCAAAAUCAGUUCACAACCAACAUAUGCAUAACAGUCAAAUAUAAGUAGGCCAGUCAAAAUAAUCCAAGGCCUUACAAAUAAAAGAAAAAGAUAUAAUAAUGUUCACAAAUAGAGAUAGUCAAACACAAGUCUUAAGUAAAUGGACUCCAUCAAAACAGGUAAUAGUAGGUGAACUGUCAAGUUCCCGUACACUCUAAAUGAUAUAUAUUCAUUCAUCAAAUAGAUCAUUCUGAUCUAGAUCUCAAUUAUUAAGCUCUCCUCCAUCCCUGCCAUCCUCUGUAGAAUAUCAAAUAUAAAUGUCAUAUUAUCAUGAAUUUAAUCAUUUGAAUAAUCCACUAAAAAUGUCUAGUUCUACUAAAAGAACUUAGCAUCAUAACAUCAGGCAAAGAAGAACAUAUAUUAAUGUCAUAAAUUAUGAAUAAAGCCUAAAUAGUUUGAUUUAUAAAGAGCCAUCAACUUAAGUUUAUUUGUAAGAGAAUAAUCAUUGUCUAGUUUUAAAGAACAUGACCAAUACCAACAGGCUUCUUAUGCAGAUAGCUAUUUCUAUGUUUCAAUUUGGAAUGUCACAGUUACAAAUUCUUUAAAGUCAAAUAAUCUAGCAUCAAGUUUGGAAUGAGAUCAUUUAACUAAGAAAAGAAUGGUCCAGCCUAGUUGGAUUGUAUCAUCAAGUUUGGAAUGACACAAGCCUUCCAGAUAGAACUUUGAACUAGGUUAAAGUCAUUUUCAUCAAGUUUGGAAUGAAACAACUCACCUUUUUCAAAUUAGUCCGCAACCAUGAACAUCGAUGAAACAUAUAAAUUGUGCUUGACCACCAAAGGAAGGAAGAUUCGAUAAUUCAAAACAUACAAUUAGAAAGUAAGUAAAUGGUAAUUAAGACUAAUUUACAUAGUCUUUAACCCCAUUUCCCCCACUGUUUUGAAUAAUCGAUCUUUAGUCAUACCUUUUGUGAGAGUAUCGGCCAUGUUAUCCUUCGAUCUCACAUCGAUCAAGGUGAUAACCCCUUGUUCUCUCAGAUAAUUCAACAACGCAUGUCUCAGUCUCACAUGUCUUCUCUUUGAAUUAAAGAAAGCAUUUUUGACAACUUGGACAGCUGCUUGAUUAUCACAGAACAGGCUUAAAGAAUUAAUCUGUAGCCGAGUCAAAGGAAUAUCCAAAAUCAGAUUCUUUAUCCAUUCUGCUUCUUCGCCAGCGGAAGCUAAAGCAAAAAGUUCCGAUUCCAUAGACGACAAGGCAAUACAAGUCUGUCUUUUGGAUUUCCAAGUAAUAGCAGCUCCACCCAAAGUGAAUACAUAUCCACUUGUGGACUUACUAUUUCCAAUUUCUGAGCACCAUGAGGCAUCAGAAUAUCCAUCCACAGUUGGAGGAUAACCAGAAUAACAUAGAGCAUAAUCUUUCGUACCUUUAAGGUAUCUCAUCAGCCUACUAAGGGCAUCCCAAUGCUCUUUACUAGGAUUACUAGUGAAACGACUCAGCAUGCCAACUGUAAAGGCGAUGUCGGGUCUAGUGCAACUCAUAGCAUACAUGAGACUACCAAUCAGUUUUGAGUACUUUAAUUGAUCCACACUGGUCCCUUCAUUAGGACUCAGUCUUUUAUUAUAAUCACAUGGUGUCUCACUCGGUUUACAAUCACUGUAUCCCCAGGUAGAAAGUAGCUGCUCAAUAUAAUGAGUCUGGCUAAGGGAGAUGACUUGCCUUUCAAAUCUUACUUUCAUACCAAGAAUGGUAUUAGCAAUACCAAGAUCUUUCAUGUCAAAUUCUUUAGCUAAAGUAGCUUUCACGUCACUCACUACAGAAUGAUCGGAGCCAAGAAUUAACAUGUCAUCAACAUAUAAGCAAAUGAUGACUAUCUUAUUUGACACAGAACGAUGGUAAAGGCAUUUAUCUGAAUAGCUAGACUGAAAGCCAUAACUCUUUACCACUUUGUCAAAUUUAAGAUGCCACAUCUUAGGUGCUUGUUUAAGACCGUACAAAGAUUUAUUCAAUUUACAAACUUUGUCCUCAAGACCUUUCAUGACAUACCCUUCAGGUUGUUCCAUGUAGAUUUCUUCAUUUAACUCUCCAUUUAGAAAAGCUGUUUUUACAUCCAUUUGAUGCACUACAAAGUGUUCAAUAGAUGCCAAAGCAAGAAGAAUUCUUAUAGUUGAUAGAUGACACACAGGUGAAUAAACAUCAAAAUAGUCUAUUCCACUCUGCUGUUUAUAGCCUUUAGCUACUAAGCGUGCUUUGUAUCUGGCUAUUGAUCCAUCACUAUUCAGUUUCUUUUUCAAUACCCACUUACAGCCUAUAGCCUUAGCCCCUUUAGGCAAAUUGACUAGCUGCCAAGUGUGGUUCUGCAACAGAGAGCUCAUUUCAUCAUCUAUGGCUUCUGCCCACAGUAGGGAUUCCCUAGAUCUCAUUGCUUCUUGAUAAGAAAAUGGAUCAUCCUCGAGAUGGUAAGUAACAAAAUUCUCACCAAAACUUUUGGGAACUCUCUCUCUUGUAGAUAUUCUAACUGGAACUGAUUCAAUAGCCAAUUGUGUGGGAUUAGUGUCAGAAGGGCCUGCUUCAGAUUCUACAGGAGAUUCUGAAAUCAUAUCUGUAGAUCCAGAAACAUUCAAGCCAUGAUCUCUGAGAAACUUAUUCUCAAAGAAUUCUGCAUCUCUAGAUUCUAUCACUGUGUUAGUAGAUAGAUCUAAAAACCUAUCUGCAGCACUAUCUUCUGCACUGCCUAGAUAUACACAGGUAAUGGUUCUAGGUCCCACCUUAGGCCUCUUUGGAUCUUGUAUUCUUACAUAAGCAAUACAGCCCCAGGUCUUAAGAGUAUCAUAUCUACAAGGAUGCUUAUGCCAUAUCUCAUAAGGUGUCAUAGACAACUUAGAGUGUGGCAACCUGUUCAGGAUGUGAUUAGCAGUCAGAACUGCUUCUCCCCAAUAGGAGGAAGGCAUGCCAGCUGUAAGUAACAUAGAAUUUAACAUUUCAGUUAACGUUCUAUUCUUACGCUCAGCAACACCAUUUGAUUGGGGUGAGUAAGGAGCAGUGGUUUCAAGUAUUAUGCCCUCUGAAGCACAAAAUUCCUUGAACCCUGUCAUUGUAUAUUCUCCUCCUCUAUCACUCCUAAACCUCUUAAUUUUCAUGUUGAGUUGAUUUUCUACUCUAGAUUUGAAAAUUUUAAACUUUUCAAAAGCCUCAUCUUUCGAUUUCAACAAAUAGACAUGACAAUAUCUAGAAAAAUCGUCUAUGAAUGUUAUCAAAUACUUUCGACCACCUCUAGUGACGUAAUUUCUAAAAUCACAAAGAUCAGAAUGUAUUAGCUCAAGAAGUUGUGUGCUUUUAGAAACCAUCUUAAAAGGUUUUCUAGUGAUCUUAGCUUGUGCACACACUUCACAUUUGUCAAAUCGAAUAGAAGUAUCCAAUGGAAUGUUGUGAGUUUUAGCUAGAAGUUGCAUUUUCCUGUAGUUCACAUGUCCAAGUCUAUUGUGCAACAACUUUGGAUCAAUCAGAAUAGAACUCACAUGGUUUAUGCUAUCAGUAUCUAAACUCAACCUAUACAUACCAUUAACCAUGAAUGCACAACCAAAAUAACAUGAGUUAACUGAUAAGGUUACUCUACCAUUCAUAGUUGAAAAGGACAUACCAGCUUUAUCAAGUAAGCUCAUAGAUAUCAAAUUCUUUUUAAGUAAAGGUACUACUCUAACAUGUUUCAGAGUUAGUAAUUUACCUGAAGAAAGCACCAAAUUUGCAGUUCCAGUAUGAGUCACUUCUGCCUCACCACCAUUGCAAUUUUCCACGGUGUCUUUCACUUCUGUGACCUCUGUGAGUAGGUUCUUGUCAUUUGCAGCAUGACAAGUAGCGCCACUAUCCAACCACCACUCAGUAGAAAUACUAGCCUUUCCAAUUUUCAUCAUUCCAAUGAAAGCUUGAGGCUCAGAUUCACUAGUUAGCAUAUUAGCCUCACUUUGUGGUGUGUUAUUCUUUGGCUUCUUUGGUAGUCUACACUCUGCUGCCCAGUGACCCCAUUUUCCACAGUUAUGGCACUUUCCUUUCUUUUUCUUUUUGGAGAUAGUCUUUUUGACCUCUAGCUGUGAAGAAGAUUCACCUUUUGGUGACUUGGAUCUUUUCUGAGGUUUAUUGAAGUGUGAAACUAAGUUGGCAACUGACUUUUGUUGUCCUACUUGUUCUAAAUUCUUUCUAGUACUGUUUUGAUCCUCAAUGUGAAUAUACCUCUUUAAUUCAUCCAGUCCCAUCUGUUCUUUCAAUCUGUGCAUUUCAGUCUUGAAAGAAUUCCAUUCAGCAGGUAACUUACUCAAUACAAGACCAACAAAGAGAUUAUCAGACAUAUCAGAUUUAUCAUCUUUCAGCUUGUUCCUCAUGUUCUCAAGUUCAAUUAAUUGAGAGGUGAUACUUGAAUUCAUAUUGAACUUAAAGUCAAAAAAUUUCUCCGCUAGAAGAGUUUUAGAAAGCCCCUCUUGUUUUUGGAACUGAGCGUUCAAGUGAUCCCAUAUCUCUUUCGCUGUCUUAUACUCACUAUAAGUCAUAGCUAGACGAGGAUUUAAAGAGUUCAACAAGUAAUCUCUACAGAAAUCUUCAUCCUUGUUCCAUUGAUAUUCAUCCACAUUUUCAAUGGUAGAUGCAAAAUCACUCAGAACAGUGUAGAAUAUUUCACGUUCUUUCAUGCCAAAUUGAACAUGUAAUUUCCAACCAUGAAAUUCAGUAACAUCAAAUGAUUGCAAUUUUAUAAUAUCAAAAGAACUACGCUUUGCCAUUUAAUCAGAGCAAAGUGUUAGAAAGAGUGCACCUUGUAGUCCGCAGAUCUCGCAAAGUCGAAUAAAGCCCCUGAUCUGAAUCAAAGUGCUUUGUAGAGGUGGAAUUUGCCAAAAACAAACCCAAAAUUGGAUCCGUAGCGCCCAAAAACCUUAAGAUGAACUGCCCUCGUCGCCGGAAACUGCUGAAAACUUCCGAUGGCCGUAACUUCGUCGUCCGACCUCCGUUCGAGACGAGUAACCACUCAAAACGUUCGUAUCGACGAGUAGAACAGAACCCAAGUUGUCUCACCCUUUGAAAUUGGCUAUAAUUUCUGAAUUUUUGAAUCAAAGAAUUCCGCCGCCUAACCUUCAAACUCAGAUCCCGGCCAAUCUGAUCGUCGAAAUCGAAAAUAAAUUAUACCGGUGAAUUCGUCUUGACGAGAUCUUCGAAUCGACACCUUACUCGCUCAAAUCCGACAUAGGAUCGUAAUACUUUAAGAUUGUUGGAGGUUAGGGUUUUUGGGUACUUAAAGUAUUACAUCAAGAGACGUCAAGUUUGGAACGCUCAACAGUGUUACCUCCAGCGUAGGAAACCCUAGAUUUAAUAAAUAAGCUAUUGGGCUCCAGAGAUAUGGGCCUUAAUACGCUUUCACUUAUUGGGCUUGUAUGUGAAUAUAUUAUUUGGAUUAUAUUAUAACAAAAUAUCCAAUAACAAUAUAUCCAACAUUUGAAACUAUCCGAGAGAUAAUGAUAUUAAUUCAAAUUAGAACUGAUGUUCUUAGUAGCUGUACUCACACUCUCUCUCUCUCUCUCUCUCUCUCUCUCUCUUUUGUUGAAUUAAUCUAACUUGUGAACUAUAGUGCACGUUACAUAUACUUGCCCGAAAAGCAUUAUUAAUUUUGUAAUUUAUCCAAUUUUGCUCUGCAUGAUCGGCCAAAUUUGCUUCAUGGCCCAUAGGCCAGCAGUGCAUGGGCCGAUCUGGGCCGUUCUUUGUCGACCUUGCGGUCCACUAGGUAAUACUACAUGUGUAUCUUUUUAUAGAGCGUAAAUUUCAUUUUUCAAAAAUUUAAUUACAUAAGUUAAAUUUUUUAAAAAAUAAUUUUUGAAUGAGUUGAAUGCAAGAUGUAUUUACAGCGUCUCACCAGUAGCCAUUUGAAAGUACAAAAUUUUAUAAGAUUAUUUUAUUUAAUUAAAAAUUUUGAAAAUAUUAUUAUUAUUAUUAUUUUAAAAAAUCUGAUAUUUGAAGGCUAAUUGGGUAAAACGAGGAUAACGGUCGUUUCGCCAUAAACGCCGAAGAGUUACGGAUGUGUAACGCCGCCUCCUCCCCUAACGGCUCCGUUACGGACGCCCCCCGCGUUCAUUCCGCGUCGGGGGUAAAACCGUCAUUUCGGUCUCUCUUAGUAAAAUAAUACAUUUGUACGUAGAACCCCUCGACUAUUCUAUUAUUAUUUACUACCCCGUAAUUGAUCUUUUUUUAAAAAAAAUAAUUAAAAUUUGAAAAAUAAUAUGACUAAAAUUCUUUAAGUCUAUAAAAGUAGAAGUUGAGGAAUCUCAACAAGAAAAAUUAGUUAAGUAGACAAUUUCAAUACGACUUAUAGUUAAGGGGUCACUCUAUAAUUUUUUGAUAAAAAAAUGAUACAAAAAAAAUAUUUGGAGACUACAAAACUAAAAUGAGCUCCCUUUUAUUAAUUUUUUUAUUUUCUAAAUUUUGAAUAUUUUGAUUUUAGUAAAUCAAGUAAAUUAGUAAUUUUUUCAAAUUAAUAAUAAUUUUAGCAAAUUUUUUAACUUUGUUUGUUUUUAUUAAAUAAAAUAAGAAUAAAAAAUAAAGAUUGGAGUAAAGUAAGUAUAAUAAUUUAAUUUAAAAUAUAAAGAUUGAGAAAACCUGACCAUAAAAAAAUAUAGUUCAAAGGUUUCUUUCAAAAUAGUUUAUAAAUGAGGAAUAUUUAUACAUUUUAUCUUAAAAAAUUACUAAAUAUUAUUGAAAAAAAUGUUAAGUUUCUAGUAUUAAAAAUUGUAAUAUCUACGAGCCGUUAUUCAAGGGAUUAUAGAAUUUUUCUAUCUCUUUUUAGAUUUUAGUAAAAACUAGUGAUAGGAUAAGAAAAAAAGAGCUUUUGAAUUAUGAUAAAGUGUUAUAAGAUUACAAUUUAAAAUAAAAUGUAGAGUUGAUUGUUCCUAAAAUAGAGUAUAAAAAUAGUUAAAAAAAAAAAAGAAAAAUGACAAAGCAGCUUAAUAAUUUAAAGUUGCCACCGCACCUGUUUCCGCCACUUUUUUUUUGAUAAAAUUACGAAAAUGGCCCGAGAGCGAACGUGUGAUAAAAUGACGAAAAUACCCUCUUCGGAGAGCCUGGCGUGGAAGCUAAGCAUCUAAUUAUUGGACGGCGCCUGUCGCCGCGUUCGUCCUCGCUGAUCAGUUCGGACCCGUUUGAUCAGCAUCCAACGGCUAAUAUUACCCCGCAUUGAUCUUUACUUUGCUUGAUUGGAUAUAUAGGUACUGGGCAAAACAUAAUAGUGAGAUAAACCAUCUUGUAAAAUAAUAAUAGCAAUAAUAUAAUUAAAUUAUAAAUAAUAAAAUUAAUAAAGAAGUAAAAAAAUAAACUUUUGCUUACAAUCAUACUAAAAAAUCUCAUAAAUAAUAAAGUAUCUUCUUAGAUAUAAACAUAAGAAAGCAUAUUUAUUAUUUACUAUCCAAAUAAAAUAUUUUUAUUUUCAUUUAUAAUAAAUUAUGUAAAAUAUUUCAUUUUAUGAAUCAAAGCCUCAAAUUAAUUAAAGCAUAAAUUAUAGUUUAUUAGGUGCACGAAUGUUUUAUUUAGUAUAUAUUUUUAGCUUGGCAAAUGCUAGCAUAAUAUGUCAAAAUAGCUGUAGAUCGAUCUUAUACUUAGCACUCGGACGAUGGAGUGUAAAAUUUACGUAUUUUUGCAGUAUACACGUACUAUUGUUGUUUUGUUUUUUUAAAAAAAUAGAAUGCAGCAUUUGGUAAGUAUGAACAUUGUUAGAUGUGACUCGAAAUCUAUUAUCGAUUUAGGUUUGCGUUUACGACUCUCCGACAGUUUCGCGGUGCGACCAAUUUGGAAAAGAAAAUUAUGAAGAAAAAAUGAGUGUGGGGGGCGGAGCCCCCGCGGUACGGAUCGGAUCCGAAAUCCGUUAUGAGUUUUCCUUUUCGUUUAUCGUUUAUGCCCUAGAGGCGUGUGACCGUGGUUGGUUGUAACCUGAAGAACAUUGUAUUUCCUUUUCGUUCCAUAGUGAAGUUCUCUCCUCCCUCGCUCGUGAUUUUUUCCUGCAAAGGAUUUUUCACGUAAAUCUGUGUCUCUUUAUUUUUCUGCUUAUGGUUUGAUUGUUUUUUGUGUUCGUCAUUUCGUUUCCGUUUGUGCGUUUGUCGUAACAAACAUUUUGUUUGCUAUAUAUGUAUAUAUUUUUUAGUUUAUUCAAGAAUAAUAUAGUAUUAGGUGAAAAUGCAUCUAUUAGGUUCGAAAACUCCUAUUUAGAUAUUCUUUUAGAAUAAAAACUAUUGUACAAAUUAUUACCGAAAAUAAGAUAUAUUAUUAGGUCUUUAAGUUAUUUUGUCGAAAUAAACCAUUUUAUAUUGUCCACAGAAAUAUUUUUACAUAUAAAUUAUGAAUGUAGACCUUUAAAGAAACAAGAAUAAAACUCAUAGCCUUUAAUCGAAACAUUAAAAAAAAAUACUGAACAAAUUAUUUGUGGAUAAUUAAUUUUGACAUUCAACGUAGUCUAAUUGGUAUCCUUAUAUUAUAUUUAAUAUCAUAUUUGGCCACAAAUUUACAUAAAAUUAAUAUAAAAAUUGCAGAAGCAGAGUCAUCAUCUAUUAAAUCGCAUGAUAGAAAACUAAAAUGGAUUUUAAAUUUACAUAAAAUUCAACAAAUGGAGGGCUCUGAAAAUUCCAAUUUGGGAGAAAGAUUUUUCUCUUUUCUUUUUUUUCCUUGAUUUUGUAUAUAUAUAUGUCAUAUGUCAUGUUGUGGGUCAUCGCUGGUCAGAGGAGAACCGUUCGAUCAUCAUCCGACGGUCGAUAUUCUCCUGCCAAUGUUUAUCGACAUAAUGGCGACACGUGGCGACAGCUGUCCCUCGUGGGGCCCGCAGCGGAUCAGACGGCUACGAACUGCUAUCACCGUCCAGCGAAAGGACAGCCUGGGAGCGCGAAGCACGCAUCUCAAAUACACCAAGGGCAUUUCUGGAAAAACAAAUGCACGCAACGUGGACGCCCGUUAAUGGCGGAGCUAACGGCGUGAUAACGGAACACGCGUCUGUCGCCCGUAUAAAGCGGCUCCGACUCGCAUACUCUUCCCAUGCUUCGCCGAACGAACGCGAAAAACGCUCCGCUCGUUGCGAUUUCGUAGUCGAUUGCGUUGCGUUGCGUUGCGAUCUCUCUCCUCGCCUCGAUCCGAUCCCUCUUCGUCGUCGCUCUCCGAGCUCGGUGUCCGAGGAGCCAUGGCGGAUCAGCUCACGGACGACCAGAUCUCCGAGUUCAAGGAGGCCUUCAGCUUGUUCGACAAGGACGGAGAUGGUCUGAUUCUGACCCCUAUUUUUUUUUUAAAAAAAUAAUAAUAAUAAGAUGGUGUUAUCUGAUAGAUCUCUGUGAGUGCUGGUGUUUAUUUGAUUCUUUGUUUUGUUUGAGAAUAUUUUUUUUUUGAUUCGAUGUGGUUUUUAAGGUGCUUGUUUGAUCUCACGAUCAAUAGAUUAUUAUUUGUUCUCUUCAUUUUUAACAUUUUUAGUUGAUUUGAAUCCUUGUUUGUGUAUCUUAUUUGUUAUGUGUACGAUUCAUUUUUUUAUUAAAUUAACUGUUUGUGUUUUUCUUGUCGAUUAAAGCUUACUGAUAUUUUUAGCUUGCAAUCUAAAAUGCUUGAUCGAUUUUUCAUUUUUAUGUGUUAAUGUGUUAAUUUGCAUGUAUUUGGUGCCUACCGUGUAUCUUACUAUAAUUUAAGAGAUUUGGAAAUACGUAAGCGUGUGAGGUAAUGUUGCAGAAUGUAGUGGAGAAUCGUUGCAUUGACUAAUUUUUGCUCCUUUUGGAUUGUCAUAUAAUGGAAGCAAUUUGUUGAUCUUAGAGUAGUAGUAUAGUUGUUUAUCUAUAAUGUAGAAUAUUUUGAGCAUCAUCAUUGAACUAAGAUGUGCUGUGAUUACUACUUACUAUAUGAAGAACGCAAAAGAUCUGAAAAGAAGUGUUUUGGAAAUAAUCAGAGGGACAACAAAUUUGAAUCAAUUGCUGUACUGAACAAUUCAGAAUCGGAAGAAGCAAAAUGCUAAUGUCUGAUUCUGCGCUGUGAAAAUAGUUUUUUAAUUUGCAGUAUGCGGAGACCGAUAUUAUCCUGCUAAGAUCCAACUUCUUUAAUUCUCCAUAACCAUUAUAUUUUUAUGAUCAUCCCCUAAUGCAAGAAAGAAAUGUUACAACUAUCGCAUCUGCUGCUGUAGCUCAACUUUGGAAAUGCCUUUCCCAAAGGCAACCUCAUUGCUACCUCGAAGCUCUUAGAUCUCUAAGAGAAAUCCGAAAGCACUGUAGAGAUUCAUGCUUUUGGAUGAUCAGAAACAGUUGUGAGACAUGCUGCAGCAGGUCUGGCCACCAUUUUCUUUUUGUACUAGUGCCUGUUCUUCAGCAGAUACGUAGGGCCUGUUUGGCCCUGUUGUGAGAUGCAAUGGUUUUUGAUGAACUUCUAUUUAAAUAGUGUUAUUGGGAGAAAUACCAAAUUACAAUCCCAUUCAAUAGUGUUUCUUUUUUUUUUUAGUGCUGUAGAAUUAGGAUCUCCGAAAUCGUACUUUCUGCUUGUGUUUUUGAAGUCUCAUUUUUUACAUUCCAUGUUAGCAGAAAGUCCAACUGUUCAGUUUGUCAAACGCUAUGGCUUAAAGCAAAAGAAAGAACAAGUCCAAACAUCGACUUAUACAUGCUUCUUUUCCUAUUUAUACAUAAUACAAAUAUUUGUUCAAAAUAAAAAUCUAAUCCUUUUUAUGAAGUUGGUUGCUAACUGGAAUCACUGCUCAGUUCACGGUGGGUAAAUAGAUGCAAUUCAUUUAAAUUCUUUUUCCUGAUUGGGCUUUGGACAAGCAGGUUGCAUCACAACAAAGGAGCUGGGGACUGUGAUGCGCUCCUUGGGCCAGAACCCAACUGAGGCAGAGCUUCAGGACAUGAUCAAUGAGGUGGAUGCUGAUGGGAAUGGUACAAUCGAUUUCCCAGAAUUCCUGAACCUGAUGGCGCGCAAGAUGAAGGACACCGAUUCUGAGGAGGAACUGAAGGAGGCCUUCAGGGUGUUCGAUAAGGACCAGAACGGCUUCAUCUCUGCUGCCGAGCUCCGCCACGUCAUGACCAACCUCGGGGAGAAGCUAACUGAUGAGGAGGUUGACGAGAUGAUCCGCGAGGCUGAUGUUGAUGGUGACGGCCAGAUCAACUAUGAGGAGUUCGUCAAGGUCAUGAUGGCCAAGUGAAAUCAAAAUGUAUAAUAUUUUAAAAGAAGGAAUGGGGAAAUUUAUUUCGUGGCAGAUUUAUUCAAAUGCGCGAGAUUAUUUCCUCCUCUUCUGCUGCGUAGUUAUCUGGAUAGGGUAGUUGUGAAACGGAAGAAGGACGAUGACUCUGUGUUUGACUCCCUCUCUUCCCUGCUUGUCUUUGGAUUAUAUUGUUAAUCCCUGUUUCUGUGAAUGUUUUAUGUUUGUUUCAUCUUGGAAGUGGAUUUUGCAUAUGCAGUAUGCUAGUUAUAUGUUCAUCUUCGUUAUAACUAUAAUUUCUGAUGAAUCACUUUUUGCAGUAUUUCUUUCGUCAUGCUGCUGCCCAUUUGGUUUUAAUAGCUGAACUGCUCAGUUUCAUGAUGAUGCAUAUAUAUAGUUCUCCUUGCAUUGUUGGCAUCUCUUGUAGUGUGAUAUCUUGGCUUUUAAUGUGCAAAUCACACAUCAGCAAAGUGCAAUAUUUUUAUGAUUCUGUGAUUUUUAAAUGUUAAAAUAUCAUGCUUCUCGACUGUUAUUUUUGCUGUUGAUUGUUACUCAUGAAAACCAUGGUGGAAUGUUCUUAUCUAUGACUUCUACUUUAUCACUUUGUUUGUUUUAUAUUUUACCACCUUAUCAUGGAUAUCUAUUUCCUUAGGAAGAUCAACCAUUUCAUUUUAAUGUAAAUUAUUAUUAUUAUUAUUAUUAUUAUUAUUAUUAUGUUGCUGAAGUUGAGAAGAUCAAUCGAUCAACCUGCAUUGAGCUUUGAAAAGCAUCUCCUAACCUUCUAGGAAUCUCUUUUACAAUAGAGAAAUGAUAUUCACAGUUCUUUGACUUGCAUAUCAAAUUUGAUGGUGUUUUAUGAUUGGUAGAAAUGGUAGUGUGCUUUGUGUACGAAGAAAUAAUAAUAUGCAGAGAAUAUCACAAGGCGGGUAGUUGGAAGGGCAAUGAAUUUGGAAGGUGCUGUGGUAGGUAGCAACUACUUUACUCUGUUUUUUCUAUCAAUGUUACAAUCUCCCUCUUUUGGUGCUUGUGCUUAUAGUUGUUGAUAAUAUAGGAGGAAUGGGGAGCAAGGAGAAGAAGAUGAAGACACUCUGCCUUCAUGGCUUCCGAACUAGUGGGAGCUUCUUGCAAAAGCAAAUCAGCAAGUGGGAUCCAUCCAUCUUCCAAGAAUUCGACUUGGUGAGCUCUCUCUCUCUCUCUCUCUCUCUCUCUCUCUGAAGGAUGCAUUAAUAAAAUAAAGAAUAGAGGAUCAACUAAGUUGUUCGCUAUGUGAUGUUGAUAGUUUUCUUCACUCCGGAUUCUAAAUCAUUACACGAUUAGACCUGAGCAAAAUCCACGCCGGUCUGAUUUUAGAUCGGCUGUGCGAAGCUCUAAAUGACCGAAUUAGGUCGUGUUGGGCUAAGUUAGAAAGUUAGAAUCCUGAGUGGCCUCCUCAAGAUUUUCUCAAAUCAAUCUACACCAUCAACUGGGUCAGCCCGAACCGGCGGGGCUAGAGUUUUUUCACUUCUAUUCAUGAUUACUGAUUAUUGAAUCUCUGAAUGAGCUUUCUUUCUUAUUUUAUAGUGCAUCCUUACUGUGAGCUGAACUUCUUUGUUUCGAAAUCAUUUUGAUUUUCAUCGUCGUUUAGGUCUUCCCUGAUGGGCUCUUUCCAGCAGGAGGGAAAUCGGAUAUAGAGGACAUAUUCCCCCCGCCCUAUUUUGAGUGGUACCAAUUCAACAAGGUGGGUGCAGAAUAAGUAUAUGUUAAUAGUACAAUACAUUUAAGUUUCCCACAAGAUAUACAAAGAAACACUUGAGUUAGAGUUCUCUAUUAGUUUAAGUGUUUUAGGUUGAUUGCUUCGCGCAGAAUCGAUUAAUGUAGGCAUUUGGUACAAUAUUUGAUUGCCCAAUCCAUUAUUCUACAUCAAAAUUUCCACUUAGUUAUUUAGUUCAUGGGAAACCACAUAUGAUGAACAACAUGUUUUCUAUUCUUAGGCAUCUAAUACAGUAGUUAUCAUUUAAUAUGGCUUGAUACAUGCGACUUAAUUUUUGUGGCGUAUAUGGCAAACAGGAUUUCACGGAAUACACGAAUCUUGAUGAAUGUAUUUCUUACUUGUGCGAUUACAUGACAAAAAAUGGCCCUUUUGAUGGACUGCUUGGUUUCUCACAGGUAUAACUUCUACGCUUUAACCAGUGUAAUACAUCUUAUUUUUUUACCGUUAUUUUUAUUUGAAAUUGUAAAAUUUAGUUUGCGAUGCAUUAAUAUUACAUGCCAAAAAUAUUAACCAACCCUACCCCUACAUAAGCAUCCAUGAGUCUUUGUUCAAACUUUUUAGUGAUGUUUCAUUUCAAUCUGACAAACUUGUUUUUUUUUUUUUCUUUACCCUAAUAUUUCCGCAUUGAAUCAGGGUGCGACGCUAUCGGCACUUUUGGCCGGCUAUCAAGCACAGGUACGUUACUACUCCAAGAUAAGAUAAGAAUAGAAGAGAUAAUUGCAAACAAUAUCCCUAGUUACUACCAGUGAAUGUUAAUAUUCUGUGUGCAUGGUACUUUCCGGAACAAAAAAAAAAAAAACACAUCUAACCCUAACAGUGCAAACAAUCUAGUACCAAAUCCAUCUCAUGUUGCAUCAUUUAUUCUCAUACAACAGGGCAAGGUACUGAGUGACCACCCACCAAUAAAAUUUGUGAUCUCAAUCUCUGGGUCCAAAUUUAGAGACCCAAAUAUUUGUGAUGUUGCAUACAAGGAACCCAUCAAGGUUAAGUCCGCGCAUCUGAUCGGGGACAAAGAUUGGCUCAAAAUUCCCUCUGAGGAGCUCGCAACUGCAUUUGACAACCCUCUGAUUCUAAGACACCCACAGGGCCACACUGUCCCCAGGCUAGGUUUGAAAUUUCCUGCUUAAAAUUGCUUACUUUUUUGCUUGCAUGUAUUUGAAAUAGAUAAACAUGUACUUGUUUUAAAUCAAUGUAUAAUAUUUUACUAUAAUGUUUUGUUGGAAGCUAAUUUAUACCCUUCAGAUAAAGGCCCUUUUUAUUCCCUUUUUUAUACCCUGAAUAUAGGAUAUAAUCUUGAAUUCUUGAUGUUGACAGAUAAGAUUCAUUGAACUUGUUUUCGCUAUUUGAAUUUAAACAGAUUCAAUCAAUCUAAUUUGCUGCUGUCAGAAAAGCUUACCUUUCGGUCUAACGGCAGAAAGAUGAAUAACUGCAGAUGAGGCAGCAGUGAGGCAUCUUUGUGAGUGGACUACAAGCGUUCUGGGCGAUACGUUCGCGCAUCGCAGUUGCAAUUUGGAGAACUCGGGAGCAGAGGAGACCAACACCGCGUCGCAUUCAGAUGUCAAUUCGGGGAGUUUGAUUCCUACAUACUUAUCUGACUUACGGCGAGAACUGGUGUUGUUGAGAAUGGAGAAGCUUAUAAGAAGUGGGAACUUGGAGGGGGGGGCAAAAAUAAAAUAAGAGGAAAUAAAAGGAAACUGGUGUUAGUUGAGAAUGGAGAAAGCUAAUAAGAAGUGAGAACUUGGAGGGAGCAAAGAAAAUAAAAUAAAAUAACAAAGGAGGGGGCAGUACCUCAUACGCCUUAGUUGACUUUCCCUACUAUUUAAGCGUACUUAACUGGGGGAGCAACGCUUUGAAUUGGCUUAUCAGUGUACUCAGAUGAUUACCUAGACUCUCAAAGUAACAUAUCAUAAUAUAUUAUAUAUAUAUAUUUUUUUGCCUUUCUCACUUCGUUUGAUAUCUUAUUUAUGUUUUAUUUUUUCAAUAAAAUUUUGUAUAUUCAAAACUGCAGAGGUGAGCAGUAAAUUAAUUACAAUCAUUUCAUCUGAAGUGUUUAUUUAACAAUAACGUUAAAAAUUAAAAGCUUUUUCUCUCUUUUUAAUUUUUUUUAAAAAAACAAGUUAUCAUCUAUUAUCUCGCUGGAUGUAUUAUAAGCUUAGUCAAUAAUAAUAAUAAUAAAAAAUCUUUUCUCCAAGCACAUCAAAUUACAUAGAAUUAAGUUUUUUAAAAAAUUAAAAAAUAAACAGGAUAGCUAACGAGACAAAUCUUUUGUUCCUUAGAGUGGAAUAGAUAAGGAAUCAAAUCACAUACACUAUUCGAUCAUUCCAAAGAAAGGCUAAUUUACUGACUAGACGGAGUAGGGAGGGAGCAUAGUUAAUUUGGAUUCGGCAAAAAUUCGGUACAGCUAUAAUACAAAUAAAAUUUAUAUCCUAAUUUUAAAAUUCGUUGAAAAAUACGGCGAAAAAAUGGAUUCGCCAAUUAUUCGGAUACAUAAUUUAUACGGAUAUUAUACGUUCACUAAUUAAAAAUUCAGGAUAAAAAAUUUGACUAUUAAAUUAAAUUUUUUUUCUUUAGAUUUAUGCUAUUAGCAUAAAUACUUAUAAUUCUGAAGAAUCUUGGUAAUUCAGCUAUUAAUUUUUUUUUCUCUAAAUUAAAAAUUUUCUUUAGAUUUAUUUAUUAUCAUAAAUAAUUAUAACCCUUAGAUCUAGAAUACACCAAUAAGCACAAACCUCUUGGUACUUCUAAAUUUUUAACCUUUAAAUCUACUCUUUGACUACUUAUAGCUUUUAGAUCAAACACUACCCCAUCUGCCACCACCUAUCACCACUUAUCACCAUCAUCCUACCCAUACAAUCACUCCAUUCAAGAGCUAUAAAUUCAAAAUCACCAACCCUUUGAUGCUUUUCAAAAUAUUCUAGUUCAACUCUCUAUACAUAUAUAUGUGUGUAUGCUCUCUAUACAUAUGUGUGUGUAUGCACGCAUGCGUGGAGUGAGAGGUCCAUGCCACAUGGUCCACGAUACUGAGUGCAGCCUCGUGGACCCCGCUGUUUUCCAACGCAGUACGCUGUGAUUUUUUCCUCCACGCUCCUCUUUUCUUCCUCCUCCCCUUUUCUUCUUUGCUUCGCUCGGUCACCAUGUUUCCUUCAAAAUUAAACAGACAUCGCUCCGUCUCCUUGUUUCCUUCAAAAUUGAACAAAUAAGGUUGCACGACUGCUCACGAGGAGGCACAUGAAUUUGUGAAGCAGUGGUGGCGCGAUACUGGUCCAAAAAAUUUCAUCAUUCUGCAGCCGCCUUAUAAUUCGGUGAAACUGUUUUGAUCACGAAUACUCUAAGUAAGAAAAAAAAACGCAUUUUAUUCUGAUUUUUUAGAAAAGUUCAUAAACGGAGCUUUUUAGACGGUUUGCCGUUUGCUCGUGAAUAAUUCACAUUUACACGUGAAUUAACUAACACAGGUAGGGAGUAGUUUGGAUCCACGCACUCUACCGCCCACCAACCUAUUCCCAAUUACCGCUUUGAUGCGGCAAAGUGAGUUAUAGUAAUAUUAUAACAAAAUUCAAUUACGCACAAAGCUCACGCUAAUGCAACAACUUCGUUGAAAAGGCAUCAGCAAAAUCUUUUUGGGAACUUAAGCAUGCUCAUAUGCUUUGAAGAGGAGCAAGCAACAUACCAAGUUUAACAGAGAUGUAAAUCAUGUUUUUGUAGGCUAACAAAAAAAAUUCUCAAGGAUACAGAUUACCGCGAGAAUGUAAAAGCAUGUCGAGAGAUUAACUACCGACAUUUCCACAACAAUGAAAACCACUAUUUGCACGGAUUUGAAGAUGACGGAGCAAAAUCACAAAGCACCACACAAAAAUUCUUGGAUUCACCUUGUAUGUUCGCUUCUGAUAUUGUGCAAAUUUCUGCGCUGCAAAGUCAUUUGGUGCAGCGGGUAAAUGGAAUUCUUCAUGCAAACAAGCAGUAGCAAGUUCAUAUAUAACUCUGCCGUCUCAACUAACUCGGUUAGAUAUUGUUUGGUAAAGUGAUUUAAGCUGAGUAUUCCAUUUGUCAAUAGCAGUGUAUUUCUUCGUUCCCUUAGACCUGAAAAAAAGAUGCGACGUCAUACAACGAGAUCAGAUUACGUGAAUUUCACUGGAAGAAGUUCAAAGGAGUUUAAUAAGAAAGAGAGUUACCUGUCACCACGCUCUAAAAGCUUGUUCACCUGAUCAAUGUGACCCUGAAUACGGUUGUCCAGAAUCAGCGAGACCAAGAGCUGCUCAACAUCCUUUUCUGGGACAUUGAGUUCCUAGAGAGAAAAAGUUAAAUAUCGAGAUCAGGUCCAUAUAGUACUUGUGAUGCCCCACUUUCCAAGGAGUCAUCCAUCCUAGAACUUCCUUAGCCCUAGCACGCCCAACCAUCUUAAUCAGUUGAGUCUAACCACCGGCCAAAAUGUUAUAGCCGGAUUAACAGAUUUAGCCCUAGAUAUAAGACUUUCAAAUCCUGAGUGUCACAGUACUGAUAAGCACUCUAGGGAUGUUAGAUACACCAUAAUUACAAGGCUACAGAGUCCAAUUACAAGGCUAGAGUGCAAUUAAAAGCCUACAUAGUCCAAUUUAAACAAGUCGCAAAAAAUAAUAUCACGAACAAAGAAGAUUUAAAUUUGUUUAUCUUUAGCCCAGAUCUUAAACAACAGUGCAUAUAUUCUAGUUGACGCUAAAGCCUGAUAAUUAUACUACUGAAAAGCAAGGGAAAUUUUCAGUGAUGCUAGAGAGAGAGAGAGAGAGAUAGAGAGAGAGAGAAAUCACCUUUGAAAUGAAUGGAAUUCGGAUUCGUGUAUAUGGUUUUAUGAGCUUGAGCAACACUUGAGUUCUGAUAUUCUUCAGAAGAUCCUCAAUAUAAUUGCGAAUGAAAGGAUCAUCCAUAAUUGUUCUUCUAUUGCUCUGAGACACCCAAUUACCAAAGCAGCAGCAGCUUUUUGAGAAUUUAAGAAAAUGGACAUGAAAAUACAAGAUCAUUAUUUCAUAUUAGCAGGUCAUAUGAAACUUCUCACCUUUAAGAUCUUCUCAAAUUCCAGAAUCUCAUUUUUCUGGUAAGCAGCAAUAAGAUUUGUCAUUGCUAGGAUUUCGGGAUCAUUUUUGUACCUAUGUAAAUCAACAGCAGUAUAUUAACAGGAGAAACAACAGAAAGUUUUAAGAGAAAAGUACUGUAUAUUGAACUUACGGCUUUGCCUCUUGCCCAUCAAAGGGAUUCACUUCAGAUUCCAUUAACAUAUUGGCCAGAACCAAAUAUCUAGCAGGUGAUAAACCAUAUCAAGAAAUGUAACAACAAGAAAUUCUGAAAUUUAGAGACUCAUUGGCAUGCCUAUCGGAGCAACUUCUCUAUUCAAGGUGUUUGACAAGUAAAGAGUCUAGAGCUUCUAGCUUGAUAAACAAGCAAAAAGGCUACUAGACCCCAAAAGUGGAACCUCCCACUUAAAGCUUCUACUUCUUUAAGCAAAGCUGCAGGCGGAUUUCAAGGAAAAGCUAUUAACGCUUAGACGCAAAUAGCACUUCCAAAGAAGCUCUAUCUUGGCCAAACAGGGCCUUAGGCACCUGGCAACAAAGACAGUAAGAACAUACUUUAAGCAUUGAAUUCGCCGCUGAUUCCCAGCUUCAUCAUAAUUCUUAAAUGCUUCAAAGAAAUCUGUGGCUGCCUCAUCCCACUGCCUCUCAGCCAUAUGCAUUUUUCCACCGCAUUCAUGGAUAAUACCCAUGAUUCGUGGAUGAGGUAUGGCUGAUUUAAUUGAAAGGGCCUUCUGGUACAAUUGCUGCAAAAUAAACCAUAUAUUAGAACUGCUCCAUAAACCACAAGAAAUAAAAGUAAACAAUGUAGGUCAAGCAGAUAUGAUCUGCGAGCAACAAUAAAACACCCUUAAAGAAAUUUCCACAUAAAUGCUCAUUAAGUCCAAUCUUUCCAAGGCAACAAUUAGGACCACAUUUAGAACUACAGAAUCAAGGUGAACAACCAUAGAGUGAAUAACCACUAACGUACAAUAAAAUAGCCCAUUUCAGCAAGAAGUAAUUGGCAACAAAAUAAUCAACUAUGCCAACUAAAUGAAGGCAUAACAGCAUGCUCAUACCUUAAGUUUCUUGUUAUUCUUAGUCUCCGUGUACAUUUGAAUCUCAAUAGCAUAGACUUCUAGAAGCUGUGUGCCUUUCUUCUGGUCAUCAGUUCCAUCCUCCCUUUGGCAAGAUCUGUGCAGCUCCUUCAAAAUCUGUGCAUAAUUUUGAGAAUAAAAACAUCUUAGUUAACAAAAUGCCGUGCAAGGGAUUGCAGAUGUUACACAAGUUAAGGAGUACCUUAUUCAUCCGUCCGUACUCUCCCAUGUCAAACCAAAUUUUGCAAAGCUUAAGAUUUGUCUUAAACCACAAUCUCUGCAAUCAAAUGAGAAAUUUCAAAGAUUAACCAAGAGUAUAAAUAUUUUGUAGUCUAAUAUUCAUGGAUGUCCAACAGCGCACUGUACAUUCCACUACCUCAUUCUUCGCCUCUUCAAGGGCCUUCAAUGUUGUUUGAUAGAACUCCUGCAGAAGAUUAAAGUUCUGGCUUGCAGAUCCCGAAACAAAAUCCAUUAUGUUGUUUAUACAUUUUUCGCUGUAGUUACGUGUAACAGCUGACUUGAUGUAUGUCAACAUCUCCCUGUAGGCAUCCAUCAUCUCUUUGUACUUCACCAGUCGAUAAUAAAGCUUGACUGUUUGCUUUAGUGCUUUGAAUCCCCUGUUAAUUUGGAGAAAAAGAGGUAUCAAAUGGACUAAGUAGUAAAAUUUAAAUCAAAUGGACUGAAUAGUAAAAUUUAAAUCAUAUUAUCAUAUUCAAAGCUACAUGAGUAAUUAACGGAUUCCCAUGCUAUAGUAAAUUUUUAAACUUUUUGAAUAUAGAAGUUUCAAAAGAAGCAGGAAAAACCUCAGAAAGGGCUUCCAAGACAUAUAGUCACUACAGGCUAAAUGAUAUGCAGCGGCAAAGCUGAUAGUUCAUACGAGGCCGUCAUAAGAUGGCAAAGGAGAAAACCAAAAAUAUUCUCAAUACCUAUGAUAAAAUUGCUAAAAUACUUUCUCCUCUUGUACAGCACAGUAUUAUAUAAAACAAUAUAAAAGGAAUAUACAAGGCAAAACUCAGGGAAAAAAAAGGGGUGUUUCUUGAAGUCGUGACAGACUCGACAAUCAAUGCUUGCUCGACAUGAGUAACAUAUCAAUCCCUGAUUAAAGCAAUGUAUUCAAAUCACAACUUAUUGACAUCUCACCACUCAGCUUUCUCAGGUUCCAUGCGAACUACUUCUGCAAAACCAGCAAGAGCACCCUCCGGAUCUGUUUCUACCAAACCUAUAAGAAAAAUCCCACAAACUAAUUAUCAAAUAAGCAAGUGUGCCUAAAUAAUAAUUAUUAGAAGAGCGGAAAAUGACUGUAUAAAUAGGAUAAACCUCUAUCAAUGAAAAAGGAACACGGUGCCCAGCAUAGGUGAUCGAAGUAUCAAACAAUAUACUGAGCUUUCACGCGCCCGCAUGAACUUCUUAAUUCCAAGCAAUGUGAAAAAUUCGGACUUAAAAUAGAUAUAAACAUCAGAUUAUGCUUCUAAGGCGAUCAUUUUGUUUACUAAAAAUCUGUACUUCAAUAACAAGAUUGUUUUAAUUAGUUAAGAGAGCACGGUAAAAUAUCAUCAUAUUAAUAUUACUAAUAUAACAGCAUACACUAACACUCCAAGGAAACAUAAAAUAGUAUAAAGCCUCUAAAAGCGGUAUCACAUGGAGCAUCAAUGACUUUAAGCAUGCGCUCAAUGAAAAAUAUUAAGAUUUAUAAACGAACUAACUAUCUAAUGUCAUACAGGGAAAAUUUCUUUAUCCUGCGCUCCAAGAAGGAAGGAGGCAAUAAAUAAUUUACAUAUAUACAGGAAUAACCUAGUAAAACAAGCUUAUUAGAGCAUCAUUUUAGAUGGGACUAAACUACUACACAAAUAGUUGAAGCAAGAAGAAAACAAAAACAACCUCCUAGAUAGCAAACAGUUAAGAAAUCCUAACUUUACCUUUUGAGUUAUAGUACUGGUUCUCUAUAUCCACAUCCUGCUCCUCAGGUUCCUCAUCAGAGUACUCAAAUCCAUAAUCCUCCAUAUCAGCAUCUAAUUUAUCAAAAAAAAUAAAUAAAUGAAAAAGACAUUUAAUUCAGGGGCAUGAGAACAUCAGAAAAAAGGAAAAACAAGGAAAAAUCCACAAGCACAAUUAAUUUCCACAUGAUGUCCACAUACAAAACAUCAGAUUAAACAACAAAGCAAAGCGAUAAAUAACAAAAACCAAAAAAAAAAAAAAAACAAACAAACAAACAAGCAACAACCAUAGAAAGAGCUACUUGUACACGAAGCAUGUCGUACAUCGAAUCGGAUCAAAACCGCAGCAUACAAUGGAAACCCUAGAACCAGGGGACGAAGAUUAAAACUGGUAGUAGUGAAAGGAUCGCUCACCGGAACCCAUGAUUCGCAGCUACUUCGACGUAAACAACCACGACAACGUGGGGUUCGUCGACAAUGGAGGGAUCUCGAGCUCCGAUCGCGCGUGGAUUAUUUAGGGCUUCUUCGCGAGGGUUUUGCGGGAGAGGAGAUGAGGAAGAGGGAGCAGAGGAAAUGGGGAGAAGCUCCGGAUGCUUCGACCGGGCAAAGAAGGGGGAAACGAGAGGCGAGUGUGUACGAACCUUUUUAGCGGAGGAGGUGAUGAAAGGGGCUUGGCUUUGGCUCGCAUCGCGAAUCGCGACCGAGCUCUAUCCGGUUCGGGUCCGGGCACGGUUGGUGCGGAUGUCAAUGGUUAACGAUAUCCAAAAGUUUAUCCUACUGAAUCCGAAUCGAACUGAUUUAACUCUUAUUUAUUUUAGUACAUAAUAUUAUAUUCUGUAUAUCGUAAUGAGUCGCUUACGAUAUAUUUUCUGUACUCCGAUCAAAAAAUAUAAAAAUAUAUUUUUAUAUACUUUUAUCUAGAUUGACCAUAAUAUCAAACUAAGAUAUAAAAAAUAAAAACAGGAUGAACAUAAAUUCGGCUACCAAUUUUAUCCAUAUCCGAUCUUAACUCAAUUUUAAAAAAAUAUAUAAACAUAAGAAUAAAAACCGAUUGAAAUAAAUAAGAAAAGAAAUAAAUUUUUAAGUACAAUUUUCUCUAACAAAUAAUAUUUUUUAAUUAAAUAUUUUUAUAUCAUUCAAUAUUUUUCUUCUACAGUGAAUAUUUAAGAUUAUCUCAAUUCUACCUACUAAUAUUUAGUUAUUAUGUUAACUUUUUUAUUGAUUGCAACAAUAAUCACACUUAAAUUUAAAUAUUUAUUUGUUCUGAAAUUUAGAGUUAAAAUUUGAUUAUAUAAUUUAAAGAAAUUUAUAAUUUUUUAAAUUAAAAUUAAAAUUUGAGUUUCCAUUAUGAAUUAAAUAUAAUUUUGGAUAUUAAAUUUGAAUUAAUAAUUAAAAAAUUAAUUAAAGUGGAUGAAGAUUAAAUUUUGUAUUUUGAUCUAAAUCUGAAUUAAAAUUUCUAUACUUUUAGUUUAAAACAUAUACUUAAAUUUAGCAAUUAAUUGAUAUAUUAUUUAUUGGACGGGUGACGCAAGUACAAUCCUAGUUCAUGAUUUACAAAAGCAAGAACGCAAUUAAAUAAGAAUCACGACUCAGCUAACAGUAGCAAUUCUUUUUCUGCAAAUAAAAAGUUAAAAGAGUUUUGAGUGAAAAGCAAAUGAUGAAGUAAUUCUCAAAGUUCAAUCUCCUCAGGGUAAGCUUAAAUCAUAGUAAUAACCAACAAGCAAGCACUCUUUCCAUCCUAAUCGAUCCAAUUCUCGGUUUCAUUUUCUGAUGUUACGUGCCUCUGCAUUAUAACUUACAGCCAAUAAUAGCCACAUUAAUUGACUCUCAGAAAGAUGUUUAAAAAAAAAAUUUAUUGUGGACAUUCCCUCAUUUCCAUUCCGGAGCAUCUUAAUCUUAAGUUUCCUGUUUAUCGAAAAAAAUCCCAUUAGAAACUUACAAGCACAUUCUUGUGCAGUACACAGAAGUAAGCAGAAAAAGUCAAUUAGUUACAAAAUGGAGAGGAGAUAAAUAGUACAAGAUCCUAGAAAGCUACAAGUAAAGACCCUUCACUCUGAUUUAGUCUUAGAUUCUUCAGUUCCAUUGUCCUUGCUCUUCUUGGGCUUAUUCAACAAGUUCACCACCCAAAUUCCCAAUAAAGUUGCCUGGAUCGGCGCCAACCAGUAUACAAACAGGUGCUCCAGCGUUAUGUGAUCGCCCCGCGCAUAGGCCCAACCUAAAGCCUACAGAAUAUGAGUUAAAAACAUUAGGUUAAAUUACAGAUUGUAUCUAGUAAGAAAUCUACUCCCCUGAGUUCAAGUGGUUUCCCAUAUUGUAUCUUAACUCUUACACAGGAAAGGUCAGGCAAAUUUGAUCUUUCUUUCUCUCUCUUAUGAAUUCGGAGAAUUUCACUAACUCAUAACUAAUAGCUGAUUGUUAUAACAUGAUAAAAUCACCAGAAGAGAAGUUUCACACUUUACAUCCAAGAUUGGUAAGAUUCCCAGAUCUAAAAAUAACUACAUGAACAAGAAACAAAUAGAUCACAUUCGGAACAAAGUAUGGAAAGGCGCGUACAGAGGCAGGGUUCAUGAUUCCUCCAGUUAAAUCAGAGCUAAGGAUAUGAAGUGUCAUCUUCGAAAUGCUUGAUAUCCAUGUUUUCAUGAAGAAACUUUUCAUUUCUUUCUUCGUCAGCAUCAGCGAAACCAUCACGACAACGAAUGUCGCUAGCCCUUCAGCUAACACUCCAUGAUGAAUACCGGCAUUCAAACGAGCCCCAUAACCUACUUUGGGGAAGACUUGUCGGAUAAGCUUUACGCCUACUAUUGAACCAAGAACCUGGUAGGCCAAAUUACAAAUGGAGUAAAUAGAAAUUCCAGUGAAGAAAGGAUUAGAAAUCACAAUCUAUGCAAGUAAUACUCUAUAAGGAGUUCGUUUCUCUUUGUAAGUUACUAAAUCACAGGACACAGCAUAAAUAACUAACCUUCAACGAUCUUGAUAAACAAAGCUCAGGUUUGGUCAAUGAUUAAUAAAUAGAAACCUUUUGAUAAGCAUCACAUUUAGCUUAAUUUUUCUACAAUUUAAUAAUGUUGUCUACAUGGCAACUGUCAACAUCAAGCUUCGAACUUAGAUUGUCCAAGACUAAUAAUCAUAUCAAUAUAGCCUUAACAAACCUAAAGCAAAAGAAGCCAACAACAACAUUCCACAGCUCACACAAGCCACAUUCCACAGCACACACAAGCCACAGUACUACAUUAGUUGGAUCCCUCUUGAUAAGCACUCUAAGAUCAAAAAAGAUAGGCUGUUGCAUAAGCGUGUUUAUUUCUUGCCUUAUUUUCUUUUUGCUUCUAGAACUGAAGACCAUGUUUUACAGGAGCCAAUACUCAUACUGCGGUUCUAGCAAAUGGAACCAAUAUUCAUACUGCGGAUCUGGCAAUCAAUUUGCCGGUUAUAUCUAAACCAGUAACAGUUGACACGUAAUGCCAGGUCUCGAUGAGUGAAAAAGGAGGAUUGCGUCAUGUGAAAUGCGUUCCAGGUUUCUCUCCCUUGUUUGCUUCUCAAGAGACACUAAAUUCCCCUCUUGUCGUGAUUCUCUCUCUAGCAGUGAUAAUAGCAGUAUCUGCAAAGCCCACCUGAUCGUAUCGCUCCAAGUCGGAUGUAAAAGUGGAUUGCAUCAUGUGAAACACGUUCCGGAUUUCUCUCCCUUGUUUGCUUCUCAAGAGACACUAAAUUCCCCUCUUGUCGUGAUUCUCUCUCUAGCAGUGAUAAUCGCAGGAUCUGCAAAGCCCACCUGAUUAUCGCUCCAAGUCGGAUCUAAAAGUGGAUUGUGUCAUGUGAAACAGGUUCUCGGUUUCUCCCCUUUGUUUGCUUCUCAAGGGACACUAAAUUCCCCUUUUGUCAUGAUUCUCUCUCUAGCAGUGAUAAUAGCAGGAUCUGCAAAGCCCACCUUAUCAUAUCGCUCCAAGUUGGAUCUAAAAGUGGAUUGUGUCAUGUGAAACAUGUUCUCAAUUUCCUCCCCUUCGUUUGCAAUUCAUAGAUUGAAAUGGCUAUAAUUACUCAAAUCCCAAAACAACUAGAGGCCUAAGAUAUGCCAACCAGUCGCAAACUUACCAUUGUUUCUAAACAAGAAAACAAUCACUACUGCAUCUUUAUUUCCUAUUUUUUCAUUUUACCUAAAGCAAUAGUUGGUGCGAAACAUGUUUACAAUUAAUAGCAGCUCAAAUAGUAAUUUUAAAACCAAAAACAAAAAGGAAAAAAAAAAAAGUAACGUCCUAAACCUUGUCAUAUCUUCUCUUUCUUUAUAUUCUUCUUUGUUAUUCUUUAACAAUGUUAAUGAAUUGUUUUCCAUUAACUAAAGCAUGAAAAGAUAUAUUUCUUUCUUUAUUUUUGUUACUUCUACUAAAAGGAGCUCAGCUCUAUUAUCCAAAAGAUCAAUUUUACGUUCUUACUGGAAAUGGGCUCAAGGUAUAUUUAACACUUAUGCUGAUGUGCACAAUUGAUUUAAAGGGCACGUAGAAUUAACAUAUGAGGUGAGAGAUAAAAACUUAAUCAAUUAGAAUAUAAUACGGAAAUUUAAGAGGUUAAAUGUUAAAGGUGCGAUCCAAACCCUCAAUAUAUCAACAAAUGAUCCAAAAUUAUAUUGCAUUUAACAGGGUCAAACUUUAGCCCCAUCAGGCUCCUCCUAAAUAAAUUUCAACUCAAGCUUGAAAUUAGUUUGUACCAAACCUGAAAAGAAGGCUCAAAAUGAGUUUGAACCGUAACAAGAAAACAUUCUAUAACAAAUCCACAAACUAAAAGCUAAUUUAUGAAAUACCAAACACUAUUAGGCAAAAUGAAGUUCGGGCAAAUGCAUGUUGACACAAAAUAUAUAUAUCAUAACAGACUCAUUAUAAUAUGUGCAGCUCCGAUCAUAUUUUCUCACCAUCGAAACACAAUUCCUCUCCAACUCCAAAUGGAACUUACAUUCUAUAACAAAUCCACAAAUAGAAAGCUAAUUUAUGAUAUACCAAAUUAAAUUAAGGGUCUAUUUGGGGCCGAGGGUCAUAUAAUGCUACUAAGGCAAAACAGAGUUGGAACGAAAGUACGACGCAGACAUAUGCUUUUCCAUUUUUCGGUGCGAAACAUUAUGUUAUCUACAGAAUCACAUUCUUUCGUACCGCACUUAACACAAUUUUUCUUUCUGCAAUCUCAAACGGAGCGUGAAACUUAAACCUGAGCGGGGAUCCUUGCGAAGGCGGCGAAGAGGUAGCCGUGGGAUUUGCCGAGGAAGGCGUAGACGAGGACGGUGAGGGGGUUGUAGGAGGCGCCGCCGGUGAGCUUCUCGAGCCCGGCGAAGACGAACAUGUAGAGGAGGGAGAGCCCCACCUUCAGGGCGUCGGCCCCGGCCCCCUGCGCGUGCGCCGGGCCCAACGCGCCGUAGACCAGCAGCUUCACCAGCGCCCCCGCCCACACCCACGCGAGCGCCAUCGCCGCGUCCGAGGCGACGAGCAGGAGUAAACGCCCCGCCCGGCCCAUGGACCUCCGCGGCGGCGACGGCAACCCCCGCGGCGGCGGCGGCGGCGGCGGCGAUGGCGUGUGGAUGGGGGAUUUAGGGCUCGAGAGAAUGGGCUUUUUUUUCCCCUUUUUUUUUUGUUUAAUAAGAGGUUUCCUGUGGGUGGAGGAGGAACCGGGAACGGUGCGCAUGAAAGGAGCCUUGUUUUUUAUAAUAUAAGAAUAAGAAUAAGAAUGUAACCCAAAUAGGGUAUACCCCUGUUUACUCAAAAAGAAAAAAAAGAAAAAAAAGAAUAAGAAUAAGAAUAAUGGGGUUAUUUUAGCAUCCAAACAAGCUUUGGGUAAGGCUUGAUUGGUAGUCCUUGUGACUUGAUGAAUGGUGUGAUACUUGUUGUUGGGGACUUAUAUGUAAAUUAUUAUAUACCAAAUAAUUGAUAAAAGAGUGAAAAAAUAUUAAUAUAUAGUAGUGGAUCUAGAUGUAAUAGGUUUUAGGCUCAGUGAAUUUUAUUAGAUUUGUCUUCUUUUUUUAAAAAAAAAAACUAUAGGCUCUGUCUGAAAUUGUGGUGCGAUCGAAUUAGUAGCUCUGGUGCAUCCGGAACAGUCAGGCCCGAAAAGGCAAAGCUUAAGUGCAUGAGUUCGAAUGAACUCCCGAGUGUCCAGGUUAAAAAAGCGUAUGGUCUCAUUGAGUCAGUUCGUAGUGACUUAUAAAAAAAAUUUGCACUCUCGAGUGACGCAGGUUAAAAAACGCAUGGUCUCAACGAGUGAAUUUGCAGUGAUUCAAAAAAAGAAAACUUAAAAGGGCAUAUCUUGAAGAUGAAUUUUUGAGUGGCAUAUAUUAAAGAGCGCAUGAUCUUGAUGAGUGAGUUCGUGGUCGCUUAUAAAAAAAGCUUUAAGGGCAGGGCUUAUAGAAGAGCCGAAAAAACAACUAGGUGUCGGAUUAAAUGCAUAGGCUUGGGUGAAUUCACGAAUCACGAGUAGUGCAGGUUAAAAUGCGCAUGGUUUUGAUGAGUAAAGAGUUGAUAUAUACUAGUAAGUUCAAAUCUAAUUGGCUUAAGUUUCUAGAUUGAACCAUAAUUUCAUAUAAUAAAAAAAGAUCUUUAGAAUUGGCUCGUAAUCUCGAAUAUCAUAACAAGAAGCUACAUACUUCUCACUCUUGUAAUAGAGUUCCGCCAUAUUUUUUUUUCCUUUUUUUUGUUGAGAGAUAGGUAGCAUGCUAUCCGUUUCGUUUAUUUUAUUUAGAAAUAAAUUUAGCUAGAAAAUGUGAAUCAACUAGGAUUUGAACUUAGGUCUCGAAUACCAACCACCAAUUUCUUUGCCACUUGCUCUAAGGACGAUCGGUAGUUCCGCCAUAUUUCAUAAACCUCAUUUAAUCCGUUGUGUAUAUCAAUCCGUUGUGUAUAUCUAUCCUUUUCCUUUACUAUUUAUUUUUUUUUAAAGAGAGAGCCCUGAACCACUAUUUUCAAUUUUCUUUUUCAGAUAAAGCUUAAUAUAUUCCGCAUUUCAAUUUUCAGUGGAAACUACACACACAUACAUAGUUGAUAAUUAAAAGUUUAAGAAGCACUCAAGCUGAUCUUGAUCUUGCAUUGUCGACACUCUCAUUCCUUUACACCAAAAUCGAAGCGCAAGAACACACUCAUUUUUAAGUCACUACCUUACUCAAUUUUGGUACAAGUUUUCUUCAGUAGAAAAGACUAUCAAAUUACAGAAGAUUAAGUAGGAGAUGUCUCCAAUUGACAAAGGAAUCAGUAAACAAGCUGCGGUUCGAAUUCAGCGAAGUCGACCGAUCCUGAUUCGAUCGGGGGCAUGAGAUAAGCCGCGAUGAUCUCGGAAACUAAGGCCGCAAUAAGCGGAAUCCUUUUCAGGUUCUUCACAAGGGGAAUGUCUUGGGUCUCCCCGACUGCUACCAGCUUCUGGUUGAUCUCGACCAUCCGAUCCAAUUUUCUCUUGAAUUCGGGGUUCUCGACGUCCAAGACGGCCGGGAAUAUCCUCGCAGUCGUGCGGUUGGUCUAAAAUCACAUCAAACUCGAUCAUAAAUUGAACAUAUAGGCAGAGUAUUGUAAGUUGUGCAACAAAGUUGAUAAAUUGGUCAUUUAUGAGGGAUUAAGUAACAAAUGAAGGGAAUUUACACAUGAAUUAGAAGAUGUUGUUACCUCAAUGAUGACAUGCAUGUCGAAUUCUUUGGUGUUGAGACCGAUUCCUUCGUAGAAAGCAGUACGCUGGCAAUCGUUAAGGUACAUCGUCACGUACACCUGCGAUUCGAAGAUUCUUCAGCAAUCGCGCGACUCUUCGAUAACAAAAUGACGCAAAGAAACACGUGCCGACGAAAAUUUGGAAAUAUUUUGUACCAAACCAACUUAAAGAGCAUUUUAAAGUUUGUAGACAACUCAUUGUCUUUUUAAAUUCACUACGAUUUUGCCGAAUGAAGUUGCAGAAUCGCGUGACUAUAGUGAAUUUACCGAGAGGCAGAAGAAUCGAGCCCACAGCUUUGCCUUCCAGUCGUUGAGGAACUGCGGCUGCGCUUUGAGCAGCGCGGAGAAGAAAUCGCCGUGCCGGUUCUCGUCCUGGCACCAGUUCUCGAAGUACUUGAAGAUCGGAUAGCAUUGGUACUCCGGGUUCUCCUUGAGGUGCCGAAAAAUGGUGAUGUACCUCCAGUAACCGAUCUUCUCGGACAGGUACGUCGCGUAGAAGAUGAACUUGGGCUUGAAGAAUGUGUACUUCCGAGCCUUCGUUAAGAAGCCCAAAUCCAGUGCCAAGUUGAAAUCAGAGAGACCCUUGUUCAGAAACCUGAAACAGAAGAAAGAUUUAAAAUUUGAGGUACAUCAGUUUGAUCUGUUUGAAGUAGUACGCUUUUCAAAUCAGAGUAAAAAUACAGCGAAAAGUAAGUGCAUAAUGCAUACCCUGCAUGCCUUGCUUCAUCCCUGGACAUGAGGGAGAAUAUCUCAGCUACUACUGGAUUGGUUUUCUGCCAUGUAAAUUUUUCAGUAAGCCGGUAAUCCGACAACAGUAAUUCCUCGAAAAAGAAAAAAAAAAUCCUCCGCGAAGGGCGCGGAAAUAAGAUUUAACGUCUAUUUUUGUAGUUCAGAAGCUCAUUCAUCUACACGCUCGGAAAAAAAAUUUAAAUUAGAAGCCCUACUAGUAGAAUGUAGUGUUUUUAUUUCAACAUUUAUUGCAAGAAGUUCAGACAAAUUAACAGAUACUGAAGUUUUAUAAUAGACGAGACAGAAGGCAAUAGAGAAUUAGAGGUCUGACGCGACUUAAACUCAGAACUUUUAUGUUAAAUAAUACGAAACAAACUGAUAGAAUGGUAUUUUAAAUAAUUUUAUACUUAACGAUUCGAACCUUUAACCUUCUUCCGAGCUCCUUGUAGAGCAAGAAGCCGGAGAAUUCGGCGGUGCACGACCUCUCGAGGAACUCGACGAAGAUCUCCCGGAGCGGGCCCUGCAUCUUGUCGGCGGCGGCCUUGAACUCCGGGUUGCGGACGAAGUGGGUCUGGUUGUAGUCCGUCUUGAACUCGUUGAGCAGCGCCUCGAACUCCGCCUGGUUCAGCUUCUUGUUGAUCUCCGUGUUGAACAGCCGCUCCAUCUCGUCGAAGUCCGUCGUGUAGAACCGCGGCGUCAGCAGCGUCUCCUUUAUCGACGUCUUCCCCGCCUUCUUCGGCUUCUGGGGGGCCAUAGCAGCGGCGGCGGCGGCAAUGCGGAAUUUGAGAUGAGGGUGCCUAACAACUGGUCUGCCGAAUGGACGGAUGGGAUUGACCGGCUUGAUCAGGGAGAGCUCGGCGGCCGCCGCCAUGUUUGCUUUCAGAUUCGUGCUCUGAAGAUUGGAAUUUUGGCCUUUGGGACCUUCACUUGGGAGUGGGAGGGGGGGUAUGGUAUAAGAUGUAAUAUGGUAAUUGAUAAUGAUGAUGAUGAUGAUUUUGGUGAUUGGGUGCCGCAUCCCGUGAAAUCUAUGUGCUCCAAUGAAGUGCUGACACGUGUAAGGGAAUCUUGAGGUGUACCUUCGUCCUGAGAGAGUGCAGUGUAAACUAGCGGUUCUGAUUGUGCCACGUGUGCUGUGCCAGGGCAUGGUGGUGUUGUAUGAUUCGUGUCCUGUUCAAGGAAAUUUUUUUUAAAAAACUGUGGAUUGGUCAUAGCGAAAAAAAAAAAAAAAAAAACUAUGGGCCUGUUCAAUUAAAUGAAAGAUAUAUCUUGAAUUUCACUGCUAUUUUAGGAAUAUAAAUAGAAAAUAAAUACUUGUUAGAGUAUAAGGAAAUUAGAGCCCCCUAUAACACUUCAGUAGUUGCAUUUUUCUAGUGUAUAAAUUCUUUUAAUCUCUAGUCAAUAUUAUUGCUUUGCAUGCUACACUGCUACCAACCGAUGCAUCGUCAAAUGCGAAAAAUAACAAAAUAACAAAAAAAACUAAUAGUAAGUUUUUCCUCUUUAGUACUUAUAUUUUGACUUAACUUUUGUUUGGACUUGCGAAGAGAUUGCGUUAAUAGCUAUGAGAAAGUACGAUAAAAAAAUAUUUUGUUUAUUUUAUAUUUAAUAUCCCGUUCUGUGUCCUAUUGAAAAACUAAGAAACAUAUUUUUAUAUGUGUUCAUCUUAACUCUAUUUUAUUUAUAAGCGUUAAAUGAGUCUCAGUACCUAACAUGUCCUUUGAAGCGCACAAAAAAAAAAAAAAAAAAAAAAANGGCUUUAUUUUGAGCUGAGCCCAAAACCCUAUUUACUAAAUUGGGGCCUAUAGGCCUUAAAUUAGGCCCAGUUUAGCCCAAUCCAUUAAUAAGAGUCGCUCAAUGUGUUACAGUGAGAGCUCCUCUACACUGUGAGCCAUUACCCUUCAACGGAUAAAAAGAGAAGCAGAGGCUUAUCCUUAAGCGAGCUCUCUCCCAUGGCGCUCCUCCACCUCCUCACUCCUCCCCUCUCCUUAACAUCACCCCCUUCUCCUUCUCCUCCUCGUCGUCGAGCUCUAUCCCUCGCCAUUUCCGCUAAUCUCUGUGAGUAAUUCUAAAAGCCAUCCUUUUCCGGCCUUGCUAAUUCCCACGAAGUUGUGCUGUGUUCAUGUUGUUGAUUCGGUUUGUGGUUUCUAUGAACUGGUCUUUGUUUAAAUUGCUGAAGGGGUCUACUUUUGUGAUCUUCUUGCUCAUUUAGGCAUUUCUACAAGCACCUUUGUUGCUUCUCUGGACAUUUUGUUGCCCCUUUAAUUUUUAGCUCAUUUUGGGUAUGUAUUUGUAGCAAUUUGUCUAUUAAUACUGAGAUUUUUUUUUUGGAGUGUAUGUUUCUUAUUGUUUUUGAUUACUUAUAACCUCUGCUUAGUUUUCUCUGUUCACUGCUGUAACACUCUCUUAUGUACAAGUCCUAAAAUUUCUUUAUUGUAACAUGAUCAUGUUCAGUAGACUCUGAACAACUCUGUGUGCUGUAUUCUGACAAUUCAUCCAUCUUUUUAGCCAUUUGAGAUGCUAAUUGAGGUAUUGUUUCAUUACCUGCAUUUUGAUUUACCAUUUAUCAAAACCAAAAAAGAUAUGAAAUUUGAUAUGAAAUUUGAUAUGAAAUUUUGUGAUUUGUCCUUACCUUUCUUUUAAUGUGACCUUGACAAAAUUUCAUACUUUAUUACUGACAAAUAUCCAUCUUUUAGUUAUUUCGGAUGUCGCUAAUCCUAUUGAGAAUUUUACCUUCUCUUCGACAAGAAAAAGAUGAACUUAUUAAGUGUUUUUAUUGUGUUUUUUUCAGACUUAAGAUUACAACAGAAUAACCCCGUUUUCAACCAAAGGUUCUCAAAUGGGAUCAGCAUUCCCACUCGCUUUUCUUAUGGCAAUGAGAGGUCGGUAGCUGUUCAUGCUUCUUCGGAGGCUGAUGCGGUAAAUGAAACCGAACCCGAAUCAGAGAAAUCAGAGGAAGCAGUAUCAGUCGAGAAUCUUCCUUUAGAAUCAAAACAGCAAAUGAUUCUUGAGCAAAGGUUGAAGAUGAAGCUGGCGAAGAAAUUAAGGCUUCGACGCAAGCGCCUCGUGCGGAAGCGAAGGCUCAGGAAGAAGGGCAGAUGGCCGCCUUCGAAGAUGAAGAAGUUGAAGAAUGUUUAAUCCGGAUUGGACCGAGUUGCAGGUUUGGUACUGCAUUGACGGCCCUCUUUUUUCGUCUGUGAUGUUUAUUCACCAAAAUGUUAUCUAAAAUUUUACUUCAUUUUACUUCAGAGUUGUAAGAGAUCCUUGGGAAAACCUUGUGAGAAUGUCAUUUGGUCUCAUAACUAAAUCUUCGACUGAACAUUGCAUAGAAAUUAUACGAUCUUUUCGUGCAAAUUAUCUCGACUUAAUUAGAAUUAUAGAUGCCACCAUACACGCUUGAUUCUCCUCUAUACUUUUUGUGAGAGGAAAUAAUUUAUACAUGCAAAGAGCAAUUUGUAACCAGAAUACCUUUUUGUUUAUUUUGUUCUUUUGCUAUUUUAUUGUCUCUAAAGAUUACAUUGUCCUUUGUUCGUACUUAUACUCAAAUAGCAGCCUUGUACCCAUUGAGAUUGAGCAGGAGAUCGAAUGAGGUGAGAGAAUACGGUGCAAUCGCAACAUCCAUCUUUGUUCCUGCAUUUGGAAGUGCACUGUGCACCGGCACCACCUACAUAAUUCAAUAGAGAGAUAUAAGAUACGAAAUAACCAACAAUCAAUGGAACAAGUAAUAAGAGAAGACGCAUGUCAAAGAAAAACAUUCAGCUAUAAUCAUCUUAAAUUAAAGCAUGACUACAGUCUCUUUUGCUUGUUGAAAACAUCGAAAGCUGGAAAGAAAAUCUAUGAUACUCAACCUUUUUUGGAUUCUGGAAAGAAUUCUCAUCUUGUGGCUGACUUGAUGUAAGCAGAGUAUUUAUUGAUCCCGAGGAGUCGACAUUAUUUUCUAAUCCAGUCACUGAGAUCUUCAAAUUCACAAGGUCGCCACCAUAAUUCACAAUCUGCAGAAAAAAACAAUUGUGUGGUUAUGGCAUAUCUAAUGAUCAUGUUAUUCAACAUUUAACUAACAAUCUGAUACAACACUUGAAAAGGUUCAAAUGCUAACAAAAUGAAAAACCAGAGUCGUAUUGGUUUAGAAAUCAAUAUCGUUUGUUUUGGCAUUGUUAUGUUCAUUAACCGAAGGUCGCCUUGCAGCAUUUAGCAUAAAAUUACCUUUAUUUUUAGGUAAGUAUUGUCAUUGUGUGAAUUCUGCCAAGUAAUUGCUGACGCAACCAAAGAAGUAUAAUUUCCAGCUUGAAUGGUGGAAGGGUGAAAGAUUGCACCGCUUGAGUGCUUAAAAAAAUGUUGCAUCCAGUAGCUUGGAGUUCCAUAUUGUUGCCGCGAGUUAAAGACGAUAGCAUCUGGAUUAAAUCUUGACCACAUAAAAACUUCGAAGUGUUAGGAGAAUAGCCCUUUUAUCUAAAUAAAUAACAUGAAAUAAACUGAUGAAUUAGACCUUAAUGAUUGGAAGAAAAUUAUAAGAACGAAUAUCAAAUUUUUAUAGAAAAGGGCUAAUAAUGAUGAAAAAGGAGCUUACUGGCGAUCAUUGUCAUUUACAAAGAGUGGAGCACAGCUUGCCAUCUCAACAACAUCACUGAAUAAUCAACCAUUGUUAGCAAACAGGAUAGAGUAAGUUGUAGGGAAAGGAAAAAAAAAAAAAUCUGCUUGACAAAUUUCAAGUUGAAUAUGAACAGGAAUUCUAAUAUAUCUUGGUUAUCUACCCAUUGUGAAACUAAAAUGUGGGAUGAGCAUUAAAUUUUAAAUUUUUGGAUUUUGAUGUUCAAACCAUCAUUAAACAGUACAAGUAAGAAAAACAUGAUGCUCACAUGCAAUAAUAAUGAAGAUAAACGGAAUCAAUUUUUACCACUAAGAGGAAAACUUUCAUGUGCAGUGACAAAGCAUCAGGAAAUGUAUAAUAAUAAAGCUAUUACAAAAAUAAUCAUCAAUCCAAGAUAAAUUGUUCUUAGAAAUCAUCCAAGAUAAAUUGUCGUAAAAAUCAAACCAAGAUAUAUUGUUCUUAAAAAUCAAUCCAAGAUAAAUUGUUCUUAACACCAAAUAAGCAAAUUAACAGUCACGCUCACAUUGACAUAUACAGUUACAACCAGAAUUUUUGAGAUUUCAGUGAUGAAGCUAAGUUAUUAAAGGACCUGUUUCUUUCGAUUCCAAUAAGAAAUCCUGCUUCUGCUAAUGCUGCGACAAGUGUUCCUUUGCCAGCAUCAUUUCCGGUCACAGCAUAUUCACUGACAAAUGCCUGUUAAAAUAUCAUAGUAAGAGGACCUUCCAAAGUCAUUUUCAGUCAUAAUCAAAAGUGCGAGUCUGCGAGAUAAAACAACAAUAUGAUUAAAGAUAUGUAUCGAACAGCAUCAUACCUUGGGCCCAUUGCGUGUUGUCCGGUCAAAUUCAUGAUUCCUGGAAAACAUGUCGCCAGAAGAGGUAUAAACCUGUCAUUAGAAAUGCAGCACCUUUGUGAUGAGGUUAGGAAGUACUGUCGAGUAGUAGGUUCGUAAAACUGUAAAAGGAUAUACUAAUCAAUAGGAUAACAAUUCUUAGUUCUUACAUGAAUAUCAUAUAGAUCAGCAGGAUGGUUUAACGGUUGAAAAGACCCAUCACAGUUUGUAACAAUCUUGAUGUCUGGAUAGGCAGCUUUUAUUGCAGAGUAGAACUUCAAGUAGUUUUCUGUUCAAUAGCAAAUUAAGAUGAGCCAAGUGGUUCUUGAUGUAAUAGGUUGCAUGUAGUAUAUUUGAGAAUAUCUCCCAAAGAGAAUCACAAAAAACUCAAUAAUAUUCCUGUCAGUAACAAGUCAGGAUACUUGAACAGUUGAACUGUUCCUCCUUUCAACUAUCAACAGAUCUUACAGGGCAGCCGAAAAUACCUCCUAUGUAAAACAACAAAGUCCCAUAGAGUCCUGGUUCCCAGAUUUUGUUAGUUACACAUAUUACAUACAUAUAUAUGCAAACAAUCUAGUCCUAACAUCACAAGACAUUUGACUAAUAUCAAUAAAAGUGAUCAGCAACCUAUAGACAGCGUGAAUGAGUUCUCAUCUAUUUUGUCCUGAAUUUAUACUUGAUCAACUUUAAACUUAGUAGUUUAGUCAUAACACUGUACUAUGCAAAGUUGAGUGUACAUAAUACUCUUCUUCCUAACAAAACCUAUCACUAUGCAUUGCAUGUGCUCAACUUACAGUAGUCAUGCAAAAAAAAAAAAGAGAGAGCAAAAUGCGUACCUAUGUAUUGUUUCUUCCAACAAUCCUGAUUCCCUAAUGAAACAUAAUUUAGCUGAAAGGGUUCUGGAUGACCCAUUGUUGCACGGAUGGAACCCCAUUGAGACUUGGGAUCUCCCCGAGCAAACUCAAUACCAUCAAGAAUAUUCUGGAAUAGUGAGGAAAAUAAGGAGCUAUUAAUUUGCACUAGAUAUCACAUGCAUAGUAGCACUAUUUUAGAAAUGUGAAGCCUAAUACAUUUAACUUUCAGCUACCAAAGCUUCACUGUAAAAUCAGGGAGUCACUAGACGCAUAUGCUAAGAUACUUCCAAAUCAUGAGAAGGAUGAGGGAAGAAAACUAAACCCAUAAUCCUAGGAUACAUAUUUAGAGAACCGAUUAAUAUUAACUAAAAAGACUAUACAUUCCUGUCGACAUUACAAACUUGUCCAUAUGCUAGUGGCUGAAAAUUUAUGUUGUUAAUAGCUUAUCAAUGGCAAGUGAUUAAUUAAUCAGCAAAAACAUGCCUGUACGAAGCCUGAGAUGACUGAAGGGCUAACUUGAUCAUUGUGACUGAUUCCUGUUACAUCAAAAAAGGUUUGGAUGAAAUUUUUUUGAAAUUUGUUUAAGGUCUAAUUCUGUUUCCAUGAGAAUAGCUCUUUUGAGGAGAAAAGUUGUUACCACUAUUGGCUACCCAUACUGGAGAAGCACCUAGGUCCUCUGCUAGCUGCAGUAAGUCAACACCGAUAACCAAAUCAGCGGAGUUACUGAGAUUGAAAUGGUUUGUACCUUAAGAAAUUUCUUUAUUCAAAUAAAAACAAGAUACCCACUUGAAGGAACUCAAAGAAACCAAGUCCAUCAUCUGUCCAGUACUUCCAUACAUCAUUAAAAUGACCGGGCCGCUCUUCCCAUGGGCCCACGGUUUCACUCCACCGGAACGCAUUCCUCAGCCAUUCGCCUUCAACAUAAGAACCACCUAAACCACAAAAUAGCCGACAAACCAACAUUAGUAGUCUCUUAUCAUAUCACUAAUGUUGCUAAAUGAACGGCAGAAACAAUGUUCAUGUUCAAACAACUUAUUAGCUAAUAGUUGUUCGAACAGCUUAUUUGUUAAUAUUCCUUAACAGGGCUUUUAGUGAAAUCAGAUUUCCCAACAGAUGUAUUGCUCUUAUUAAGCCAUAAAUUCAGCCACUCUUAUUACCAAACCAGGGCAAUAUAUGAGAAAUUUCAGACAUUGUCAACCAAAUGUACUGUUACAAUAUAUGCACUAUUUUUCCACCACAAGCUACAUAGCUAGAAACAGGUCCUGAUAUAGUUUUUUAUUUUGACUUGUUAUCCCUAUGGGUGUUGAGUUUGAAUGCUAAGGCAGAAAAGUAGUCAGAGAGCAAAUUUCAUAUGAACCUGGGUAUCUGAGAAAUCGAGGUUUUAGAUUUGCGAGCAUUGAAGCCAGCCCUUUCCUAAAGCCAUCCCCCUGUAGAAAUUAAUGACGUAAAGCAUCAUAAUUAAUGCUGCACAUAUGUCAUAAGAGAACCAAAAGACAUUAGUUUGAUCAUGGAUCAGUUUAUUUAAUGUCAUUUGAUCGAAUGGUAGAUUACAUCCAAAACCUCUUAUUUUCAAUCACUAAACAUUAGGAAUGUUGCAGGCCAUUCAACAGGACUCAAAUCUGAAGCUAAAAUGAGCUUACUUCUUUAAACUCUUUAAUGCUCCAAGAAAAUACGAAAAUGGCCCAUCAAUUAUUUGAAGGAUUGAUCAUAUAGUGUCCCUAGAUUAUGCGUGAACCAAAAUAUGCAAUCAAUGAUUACCUAUAUACAAGUAUCCAAGAAAUCCAGCAACAUCUCAACAUAGUCAUUUGGCAAUAACCAGGAUCAUGAACUAAAUUUUAACUACUAAAAAGGAAUGCUGUUAAGGUAUUCCUUACCAGCUGCUCUCGAUGAGAUCUAAGAAUCUAAUGAUGCAGCAGGAGAAAUCAAAAAAUAAAGAAAUAAAUUAUACCAUGUAUGUGUCUAAUGGCAGAACCGACACUUGAUCGACCCAAAUUGUCCCACUCUCAGUGGUCGUCAACUGAAGUCUUGAAUUGGCAUUUGUUCCUCUGGAUUUCAACAGAAAUUCCAUCUUGGUCCAGUUUGAGAGUUCUGAGCUCUCAGCUCUACAAAAAAUAAAUUUGUCAAUUGCUAUAAUAGAAAGAAGCGAAACAACAGGAAUGACGGUAUUUUAAAUUUAACCUCUCAAGUUAUUAGACCCCAAAUAAUGCUUACAUUAUAUUAUGCGUAGCCAGAUUUUGUCGUCCGUCGGAGCUCACCAGCGAAACUGACAAUUUCACCGAGUCAAAUGACUUAAUAUGCAGGAUCACCUUGUAGGCUUUCCCUCGUUCAAUAUUCUAAAUUGCCACAAUAGAAAAUUGAAAAUUAGUGCCUACAAAUAGAAAUUUUAAACAGAUCUUAGACCAUUACAAUUUAGAAAAAAAUCCAAGUAAAAUUACCUUGUAAAUACAUAAUUAAGAGAUAGCAAAAAAGAUGGAAUCAGCAACAACUUAAUGACUAGGUAUCAAGUAGAUAUUUGGGAUCAAGAUAUUUCAGAUAAUUAUUGCAAGUACAUAUCAUGCAAAAAAAACAAAAGAUAUUUACAUAGUAAAUUAGUUGCUUAUUAGAAGAUAGAUAACAUAAUGCCAUACCAUGCCCCAGAAACCAGGAUUAUAUACACCAACACCUCCAGCAGGACAGGUGUUGGAUCCUUUAUCGUCGCAAAGUACUUCCAUCCGAAGUGCCACCUUAUUGCGGGCAAAACAAGAUGUACGAUCGGUCGAUACAAUUAUUUGUGAUUCAUUGCCUAUUAUGACCCAUGGAUCAAUAUUUGAUGGAGUAUUCGGACCUCCAGCUUCAAAACCUGCAAGAUAAAUCGGCAGUUUUUUAGAAGAGGUCAAAUAUAUACAUAAUCAGAAGUUGGUUGAUAAAUGUAUCCACUCUGGAACAAAAUGACAAGAACAAUAAAAAUACAAUGUCACUUGUCACUGAUCAUUGGUUGCUUAUUCACGAAAAUAAAGAUGUUCAAAUAAAACUACUAAUAUCAGCUAAAGGAUUUAGUUUAAGAUAAAUCAAUUGGAUCAUCAGAUAUUUAAUGAUCCUUACCUCUAUUACUUACAAGCUCUGCCCAUAAUCCACCAGCUCCUGCAUGGUUGAUCUCCUAUAAUGGAGUUAAUAAGUGAUCAAUAAUCUUUCACUGAGCAGUCCACAGCAUAAAGAGGGCUAAACAAGAAAAAACAAUAAAUUUUUUGCUCAUAACUAUUAAAGCAUUCCUCAGAUAAAACUUCACCAACAAAAACAUGAAGAUAGAAACAUACAGAACUUGAACUAUAAACCAUUUAGAGUCGAAUACCCGAACUUUUAAAAUUUUUGAUUUUACCACAUGAUCUUUCAAUGCUUGAUUUGACUAAGUCAACAACAAUUUUAAAGUUUGAAUGUGGUGUUCAUCUUUACGAGUUUAGUUAGUAUACUUAUAUGUAAUUCUCAAAUCAAACAAAUUGAAAGAUCAGACAGCAAAAUCAAAAUUUUGAAAGAUUAAAUAGUCGACUCUAAAUGAUUGAUAGUCCGUGUUACAUUAAAAUCAACCAAAAUAAGGGAAUAAACGGAAACCCAAACUAAUCGAUACCCGAGCGAAAGUCCAUCAAUCACCAUGCAAGUCACAAUUAAGAUUCAAAAAUGCGUAAAUUUCGUUGAGAAAUUAGAAUAACAUAAUUGACAUAAGAAAUGAUUCAAAGAACACUUAUCUCACCUCAAAAAAGAUACCGAACAAGUUGUCGGGCAUCUUCCGGCCCGAUUGAGAUGAAGCAUCAACAAGCAGAAGAGCAUUUUGGGUUGCAGUGAUCCCAUUACCCGCAAAUGCUUGAUAAAAAGCAUAGAAAAUAUACAGUGUGUGUAACAAAGCUCCGCAAUAUUUUGAACGGAGACCCAUUUUUUUCCGAAUUAAUUCGAGAACACAAUAUUAACUGCAAAAUGAUACCAAAAAAAAUUCCUAAAUUAAAUUCAAGAGCAUAGAAAUAUUAGCACAAGUCCUUUACAUUCAAUUGUUUCAAUUUAAGUUAUCCAUACUAUAUAAAUCAGAAAUUUUACUAAAUUUAGUGACAAAUAAGUAAAUUUCAAUGAUUCGAUUCGAAUAACUAAAACGAUUCAAAUCAAAAUAACUAAAACUAAAAUAUGUGCCAAAAAGCUGAGGAGCGCAUUACGAAACUGGCUACAGUUGAGGGAGUCUCUUACAAUUUUCACCUACAUACCUGCAAAGUGUGUGGAGAACAACAAAUAGCAUAUCCGAGUUAUCCAACCACUACUUCAAUGCGAGAACAAUGGAGGAUCUCGAUCGAGAUAUCUAGGGUUCUGGGCUCCAACGUCGUUGUCGCGGGGGUCGACGAAGAAGACGAGGUCUGAUCCGUUCGAUCAUCAUCCAACGGCUCGGGGGCGAUCUCCUCGCCAUACACUCCUCGUUGCGUCGCUUCUACUCCUCCGUCUCUAUGGCCUUUGCUUAUCCGGUAACAUAACAAUAACGAUGACAUAAUCGCGCGUGGUUUUGGUGUGAGUCGAGUAUGGAAUCUCUUUUACUGUGGUGUCUCACGGGGCGAUCUAGACCGUACAAUUGAUGGAGGGAACGCGGAUGGAAGGUUCGGAUUGGGUAAAAAUGUAUGGAGACCCCUCAACUAUAGACAAUUCUGAAAUAGGACCUCCUCAACUGUAAUGUAAUAUUUUUAUAAUUGAGAUCACUCAAAACUUUUGAUUGUUUAUAAUUGAAUGAGUUUAAACCCAAAUUAAUUGAUAAUUUCAACAAAAAGUUUAACUCAAUUAACUAAAAUAAUUUAAAGUUGAGAGGUUAAUUUCAAAAUGGGCUAUAAAUUGAGGGGUCUCUUUACAUUUUUACUUUCUUUUUUUAAAAAAAAAAUUUGCUUGGUCUUAAUUGUGAUUGGAAGGGAAGCAAUGAUUGUUAAGAGAUUUUGCUUCGUCGGCGUGUAGAGAUUAAUUAAAGGGUGAGUACACGUCAGCAUGGAUAAUAUAAAAGAGUGAGUCGCACCAAAACUAGGUCGUGGCAAUUGCCCUGUUGCUAGAACAUGGUUUGCCACAUCAUCUUGUGGGCCGAGCCAGUUAAAAAGCGCCACACGCUGUGGUGAAAUUGCUGCAAGCAACCGGUGCACCACGUCAUCCAUGCUAACCGUUAAAAGAGUUUUCAAGUUGAAAAAUAAUAAAAUAACAUAAUUUUAAAGUGGUGGGAUGGUUCUGGGCGCACGGCUGACGUGGUGCACCAGGUGCAGCUCUACCCCCUUGUUUGUGAUUGGUUUCUUGGUCAAAAUAGAAAAAAAAAUUUGUAAAUUUUAGAAACAUAUAUUAUCCCCCUGAGUUUUAAAGUACUUAAAAAAAAAAAAAACUAGAAGUUUUUUCUAUUCUGAAAAAAUAUUUAUUAAAUUUUUGAUAAACUUCAGAUGCCAUCCUUGUAGUUUCGCACUUUCUCACUUUAGUAUCAUGUGGUUUAAAGUGUAUCAAGUUAGUGUCCUAUGAUUUUAUUUUUAUAUUUUCGGCAGUUUCUCCGUUAAUAUUUCGUUAAAUUAUAAACAAAAAACUUCAAAUACUCCAUCUAAAUUUAUCGAAUAUUCACUUUAGUAUCCAUAGUUUUAACUUUGUCACUGAUUUAAUGAAAAAAAUUAGUGGAAUCGAUAAUAAAGAGAUAAAAAUAAAACUACAUGAUACUAAAUUGAUACACUUUAAAUUACGGUAUACUAAAGUGAGAAAGCGUGAAACCGUAUGGCGUGAAACCAUAUGGAUGGUAUUUGAAGUUUUUCCAUAUAUUUUCUAACAGAUAUUUGACGACUUUUUUUUGGAUGCAUUAAUAACUUGCCCAAUAUUUUUCUCUAAUUUACACAAGAACCUUGUAAUAUAUGGUAGAUGAGAAUUGCGAUAAAAUGUUUUGAAUAAAAUGUUAUAAUCCACAUUCAAUUUUAAACAAACAGCAAGUGCAAUAUACAAAAGAGAGAAGCAAAUUACAUGAAAACUAGCAAAAACCUCAGGUGCCCAAAAUAUAUUAUACAUUCUACGUACCAUUUACAUAAUUUCCGCCUAAAACCUUUAAAAAAACGAAAUAUGACUACACAUAUUCCUCCAAAGCUACAUAAAUAGGAGAAAUGCGGCAUCAUCGCAACAAUAUCUACUCCCUUGAGUGUGCUCGAGGCGGUAACAGAGUAGUAUCUUUAGAUUGCUUAAGAUCUUCUAAUACUUGUAGGACCUCACUCAUGCUCGGCCUGUUCUUCGGAUCACUGUGUAAGCACUGCAACGCAAGCGACGCGAUCGCCUGCGCCUCUCUCUUCGAGUAUUGACCUUCGAGCCUCGUGUCCAUGAUUCUGAAUAUUUUCCUUCUCUCGUUCAAAUACGGCUUAGCCCAGUCCACAAGUGUCUCUUCGGUGGAUCCUCGAUCUUCAUCCAGUGCUCGCCUUCCGGAUAACAGUUCUAAUAGCACUACACCGAAGCUGUAUAUGUCACUCUUCACGGAUAAGUGGCCUAGCAGAAAAAUGUAAACAUUGUCAGAAAAAAAGUUAUCACUAACCGACCCUGUUCAUCGAAAUCGGACCGUGCUCUGAGGGGCGGAAAAAAGAACUCUCGAACUGAACACUACUAUCCUAUUCCUGGAAUUUCAUCUCUGACGUAAUGUGUCACCACCUCAACUUGAAUACAUUCUAAAUAUAUAACAGCGAACAUAAAAUUCAUAUUUAUCGGCGUUGUAUAAAUUGAGGAUGAGUCGGAGUAUAACCUGUAGCAAUAUAUUCUGGAGCCGCAUAGCCACGGGUUCCGACAACCCGAGUUGAAACAUGCGACUUAUCUCCAGUAGGACCAUUUCUAGCUAGGCCAAAAUCUGACAGUUUUGCUCUGAAAUCCUGUAGAAUUACUUUCUAUGUCAGUUUUAACAGAAUUUCAAUAUGUCAAGUGAAUUAUCUGCAAGUCUCCGAAACUGUACCGAAUCAAGAAGGACAUUUGAGGACUUUAAAUCGCGGAAGAUAACUUGAGUAUCCAGGCGAUGUAAGAAUGAUAGCCCUCGAGCGACGUCGGUGGCGAUGUUGACCCGCAUAGCCCAAGAAACAGGUUGCACCCCUCCUGUCAUAGACGAACCAAACAAUCAAAUUCAUUUAGUUUAAAAGAUGUUGGAAGCGUCUUUUGCGCAUGGACCCACUCCUACUUUGUUGAAAAUAGAACAAAUUAAUGAAGAACUUUCAGAUUUUCUAGUUGAGUAUGUUUAUUGUUGUAUGCCAGUUUCAGGACAAAUUCAACUAAAAAAACAAUAUAAGAUGUUUAAGGUAAACAAAUUUAAGUAAUCUCAUUGAAGCAACGAAAAUUCAAGUAUAAAGUUAGUUUCGUGUAGAUAUAGGCGUAUCUUAAUCCUAUCUAUCUCUCUCAGGAGAGAUUCAAAUAGUACAAAAUCUUUUGCCCUCUUCAUAGCACUAUUUGUAGAGAUAGAAAAGAGGGAGAGACGGUGAAGAAGAGGUUCGAAUGCAAGAGCGAACAUUAACAUACUUCUGAAGAGAUGAUUCUCCAAGCUUCCUCGUUGCAUGUACUCAUACACUAGUAGCUUGUUGUCAGCCUCCGAGCAGUAUCCUACGAGCUUUACGAGAUUUUCAUGGCGAAGCUGGCCCAAAUAGGUAACUUCGGCCUGUGAGUACAAUUGAAGGGGUAAAGUAAGGUGCGAAGUUCACCAAUUAACGAGAAAAAAAGGAAAGAGAAAAAAGAUAAAAGAUAUACCAGCCAUUCUUUAUGCCCUUGAAAGCUUUCCCUUUUGAGUUUCUUAAUGGCGACUACAAUCCCUGCCCCAGGCCUCGUAGGGGCCAAGGUGUUCUCAUCAAUCCAUCCUUUAUAUACACAGCCGAACCCUCCUUCCCCGAGAUAUGAAUUCGAACCGAAGUUCUUUGUGGCCGACUUGAGCUCAAUCAGGCUGAAUGAUUUCACGCUAACUGCCGGCGAUGCCUCACUUUUGAAUGACGGAAGAGAACUGACCGAACUUUUGUGAGUUGUCUUGCUCGAACUCGUCGAGUUGGAAGUAGUAUUGCUAGGCAGCGAAGUUUCUGCAGGUGAGAGACAUAGAAUGGAGUUUUUCUUAGGCUUCAUAAAUCAUAUUAGAACAGGAAAAGUGAAAGUUUCUGAAUACAAAUCCGACAAUGACAGAUCCUGCAAAUGAUUUCGAAUAUAAAUCCGACAAUGAAGACAUAAUUACAGAAAAAGAAUACAGUAUGUUAUUAUUAUCAUCAGUUCAUCUAUUUGGUCAUUUUCUCGGCCCUUAAGUUGCAGCUCAGAAAAAAGUCGAACAUGUUAAACAAAACUCGCAAUUUUGCCGCACUUCUUUGUCAGUUUCAUAAGAACUCAGUUCAUCUAACAUUUACUACAAUAACCGUGUAUUCUUUGCUUAUAAUCCGAGCAAACUCAAUGCAACACUGUUUGGUAUACUCGACUUAACUUCCACAUUAAGCGAAAAUGAAAACGUAGCCGCGUCGCCUCACUAAUACUACCAAAAGGAUAGCAUGCCCUUAUCCUCAUCAAUUCUUAUUCAACGUAGCAUCACAAACCAUAAUUUCCGCUAUAUUACUUCUUCACUACUACUUCCUCAUUUAUUUCAUUUAUAUCACUUUAUUCUAAUAUACAAAAACACAACAUCUCAUCAGACUCAUCUAGAUAAAUAAAGUGCGAAAAACUACUUCAAUAGAAUCAAAAUAUUAAUCGUUGCGCCGUUAUGAGUAUUUCAUUUAUUCUUUAAUCAAAUUUUGCAACGAGUACUUUUUUUUUUUUUGAGAAAUGAGUACUUAAAUUAUUCUCUUCUCUGUACUUUCGCGACAUUUUCUAAAGAAAUAAAAGAACAACAAUUACAGGGGAAAAUUUCGAAAUUUCUAAUUUCUCUCGAACUUCAUCUCAUUAUUCUUGCUACAUGAACUCGUUCCGUGCUAAUAAUAUAGAUUCUUAAAUUGGGUGAUUAACACCUCACAUUGAGUUAAUAGUUGAAGAGGCCAAAAAAAACGAAAAAAGGAGCAAUUUUUACUCAAUUUCUCAGCUUUGCAAUUCAAAAUUUUGUUUCUUCACAACAACAAAUCAAUGGAAAAAAAAAAAGAGAAAACAACAUACAAAAUACUAAUUAGAGCACAUCUACAAAAUUAACCAAAAUUCACAACUUCAAUACCCCAAAAAAAAAAAAAACUCGGCGAAAAUGAAGGGGAGUAGAAAAAUUCGGUUUUAAAAUUUCUCCAUCAUCAAUCGUUGAACAAAAAGAUUAAUAAAAAACCCAUAAGCGUAUUGGUAACCAUGAAAUUAUCAAAUGGGUUCGCACAACAACUACCUCGUACAAAUCCUCUACUCAAAACACAAAUGAAAAUUUUUUUUUUUUUUAAACCCUCAGAAAAUCAUGUAAAAAAACAAUUCCUUACUCGAGGCCAAAGGAGAAGAAGCAUUGGCGCAUUUCGCAGAGCUCCCACACAAAUUCCCCAUGUGACCAAAUCCCCAAUCCCUCUCUCUCUCUCUCUCUCUCUCUCUCUCUCUCAAUCCAAUUCUCUUAAAAGGAAAUACAAAGAGAGCAGGGAAAAAAAGAAUUGUAGGUAAAAAUGAAGCAUAACCCUUCAACUACAGUGAUUUUGGAAGCAAGGGCCUCGGCUUGUAUUUUGUUUUAUUUCACUAUGAUCCCUCAACUUCUAUUUUUUUUAAUUAAGUUUUUAUUAUUAGUUCUUAACUGUUAAUUCACCCAUUUUUUUAUUAAAAUAUAAUUAAAUUUUUAAAAUUUGAACUAUUAAUUUCUUAUCAAAUCUACUUAGUUCCAAAAAGAAAGAAAUUUGGGGGUGUCUUUCUCGGAAUAGACUAUAGAUUAGGGGUGUCUAUACAUUUUCACAAAAGAGUGUUAAAAAAGAUCUUCUUUUUUGACCAUUAUCGCUCAGUCAAAGACGUAUCCACCCUUUUCAUACAUAAGAGUCGUUUUUUUAUCUCGUUUUUUUUUACGCAAAUUCCACAAAAUUUAGGGGCUAAGAAAUGAGAAAUUUAUUAAACUUGACCCAUUCAAUUAUUCAAACUGUUUUAUAAAAACGGCGUACGCAUUUGGGAAUCCAAAGAGAAUUGAAAUUUUCCAUUAAAUUUCAUUUUUUUUUUUGUAAAUUUUAUAAAUAGAGUAUUCAAAUUGUGGCCAAGCUAUUAUUCAAGUUUGUUUACAAUAUAAAUAUAUAAAACAAAUAUAUAUUAUUAAGAGUGUGUAUUUUUUAUGUGUUAAUUGCAUACAGCUUCCUAUAAACAUAUCGAAUAGUAAAUAUAUUUCUACGAAGUUUAAUUUUUCAUAUUUAUCUCUACAAAAAUUUAAUAAUAUUUAUAUUUAUCACUCUGAUUUGCUACCAUUAGAGUACUAUUUUUUUUAAUAGAAGAUAAAAAAAAUUAACAUUUUUACCAUUACAAAUAUAUUCUUCCAAAAACUCCAACUGUUAGAAUUAUACAGAAAUAUUCUCUUAAAAAUUUUUAACAGUCAUUUUUUAUACCAUUACAAAUAAUAGAGGAUAAAAAGAUCAAUUUACCUAAUUCACUAAUUAGAAUUAAGUAUUUUACCUAUAAUUAACUAUAUUUUUCUAAAAGAUCAUAAUACCAAGUGUCUAUUUAAAAAUAUUAAAACUUUUGAAGAGAUAAAUAUGAAAAGUUAAAUUUUGUAGAGUGUUCAAUUUGUUUACUUUUAUAUAAUAAAAUGUCAAAAAGAAAUAAUAAGGUACUAAAUUUGUCAUAAUUUACUGCAAUAUAAGAUACUAAAUUUUGCUUUUCAACUUGGGGGAGAGAAAUUUGAAAUUUCUUUUUCUUCGUUAAUGUACGAAGUUUCCUAAUCUGUUUCCUAAGGAAUAAAAAAUUAUAAAUUUUGUAACUAAAAAGUUGGGCAAGGGAUUAGAAUGGGGAAGUGUUGGGUAUUUCUUUUCUUAUCUUAAGUUGACAAAAGCGCUUCUUUUGACCAACUUUCGCUUGUUAAGUCAACAACGUCGUUAGCAGUUUAAUGAUGUCCAAAUUCUAAUGUUUGUUGUUAUUCACAACAUUUUAAACAUUGGUUUUUACAGUGAUCUAAAAAUAUUAUUAGGUUACGUCAACAUAACAUCAUAAAUAUUUAAUAAUUAUUAUUUUUAUUAUUAUUUUAAUAUCAUAUCUAAUUAUGAAAUACUGAUUUUUUUAGACUAAAUUAAGUAGAUACAAAAUUUUUAAGUUUUAUUUUUUAUAACAGAAAAUAAAAUUAGCAAAAAUCAAUCGUAAAUAAAAUAAUUAAGUAUACUAAAUGAACAAAAAAAGGUAAAAAUAAAAAUAAAAUUCAUUUGAUUUGGUGAGAUCUAUACCGGUUUGGUGGUUGAACCGUCGGAUCGAACGAUACAGAGUGAAUUUUUUAAUUUAUCCGGUUAAAGGGAUUGAACCAAACCGUUUUAUUAAUUGAUUCCGGUUGGCCCAAUGGAAGCGGCCAAUUUGAGCUGAAUUUUAAAACAUUGAAUAUUCAAUAUGAUAUUAAAAUUUAGAUUUAAAUAUUUUUAGGUUAAAGAGUGUUUAAAAUUUGAAGGCAAGUAGGGACAUCCCAUCACUUGUACGGCAUUCUCAAUUAAAUUUUUUUUAUUGAGAUCAAUUUAAUUUUUUAAAUUUAAGUUGUUUUAGUUAGUUAAGUCGGUAUUAUUGUAAACUGCAUGGAUCGUUCGUCAUACGCUAUCAAUAAAUAAGCACGAAAGAAUAACAAAAUUCGAACAAACGGUAAGAAAAAAAAUAUAGAAAAAAAAGACCAAGAUUUGUGCGGUUCAGCAAUUGCCUACGUCCACGAGACAGCGAGAAAAAUAUAUUCCAUUAUAUGAAAAAAUAGAAAAUACAAACUUACAUGCUGUGCCUUCUCCGAAUAAAAAAUUAAAAGCCUUACGGUGAAUUUUAACUUUCUCUUGUUCCACUGCAAAUUUCAGAAAAAUACUGAAAAUUUUUUUUCGUAAAAAUAAGAAGAACAAAUUAAAAAAUAUAGAAAACUCUGAUCAAAUCCUUUAUGCUCUUGCAUCGAUGGAUCCGACAUGUUCAGAAAAUUGGUCGAGAAUCGUCGCUUUGCUGCCGACUUCAAUCAGUCGUCGCAUGCGUGUCGUGCACCUCCUUGCUGCUGCCGUACUGCCGGGCCAACAACCUUGAUUAAUUGGCCUUGCACGUGACGCUAAUUAAUUGGCCUCAAUGUUAUAUCCGUACGCAAUCAUAUAUACGAGAAAGUUUAUAUUAUAUUCCAAAAGUUCGAGCUGUUAGAAAUACGCAACUAAUUCACUUAAAGUGUACAGAUACAGCGCUCAUGGGUCUUAAUUGUGACUCGACCCACGCGGCCUUACACCACCUCGAACAUGACUCGGCCUACCCAACCUCAUGUCAUUUCGAACGUGACUCGGCCCAACAUGACCUCCCGCCACAGGGCAGGAUGCUGGCCCAUUUAAACCAACAAUCCUCCCUCCAGCAUCUACACACAUUUGCAGCAUGUGGGAAUCGAACCCGUGACCUCUGGCUCUGAUACCACUUGUCAGAUCGUUGGCGUUAACUAUUAAUCUCAAAAGCUCGAGCUGUUAGAAAUACGCAAUCAAUUCACUUAAAGCGUACAGAUACAGUGCCCACGGAUUUCAAUUGUGACUCGGCCCACGCGGCCUUAUGCCACUUCGAAUAUGACUCGGCCUAUCCAACCUCAUGUCAUUUUGAACGUGACUCAGCCCAAUAUGACCUCCAGCCACAGGGCAGGAUACUGACCCAGUUAAACCAACAAAUGUGACGAAUAAUUUUUUAAAAAAAUUAUUUGAUUGAUUAAAAAUGUCAUGUCUCUAAUAUAACGGAUGAAUUCUAAAAUUUUUCCACAUAUAUAU